GUAUAUAUAUGUGUGUAUAUAUAUAUAUGUGUGUAUAUAUAUAUACACACACAUCCUUGGAUGUCUAAGAAUCUCUCAAACCACAUAUGCCCAAAACUAAAUUUCUGAUAUUCCUCAUAAAAUCUCCUCUAACCAUAUUUUAGCAAUAUUAGGGAAUAGAAACCCCAUCCUUCCAAUUUCCAGGAGAAACACCUUGCAGUUAUCCUUGAUUCCAAGCUCUUUCUCUGACACCUUAUGUAAUCUAUGGCAUUAUGUUUCAAAUGAUGUAUCCAGAGAGCAACCACUUCUCCUUGCUUCCACACUGGUCAGCUAUUUUGAUCUCUCACCUGCCAUUACACUAGUUGCCUAACUUGUGUCUCUGCUUAACCCUUGCUCCACUUGAACUGCCAAAGUGAUUCUGUCAUACCUAAUUUUGAUCAUGUAUGUUACCUCUCUACUAAGGACCUUGUGAUAGCUUCCAGUUUUACACAGAAUAAAAGUCAAACUCUUUGCAGUAGUCAACAUAGCCCUCCCUGAUCUUCUCCUACCCUUACACUCUUAUCUGACAUCACCUUAUCUUUCUGUUCCUCUGAUAGAUCUCCUCCAGCUGUUUCUCUUGCUUACUCUGCCCUUCUCACUGGCAUUCUUACUGCUUUUCUUAUUCCUGGAACACAGGAGAGGCCUCUGCACUCAGAUGCCUUUGCCUAGAACACUUUUGCCCAGAUAUUCACUUGGCUUAAUCUCAUCCUUUAAGUGUCUGGUUUGCCACUCUGUUUAAUCCUCCACCUUCGUCUGUUUUGUUUACUGAUGCAUCCCAAGCACCUAAAACACUGCCUGGUACAUAAGAGAUACUCAGUAAAUAUUUGUUGAAUGUAUUGUUCUUAGGUUCUAUAUUUCUACCACUUUGAGUUGACUUACUUUCACAAUUUCUAAUCCCAUCUUAGUGUAUCUGGUUUAUGAAUUUAACACUGACAUCAACUUUAUACUUUGUUUUAGGGCCAAGUUCCCUGGGGGGAACCCCACCAUUGCCCUCUGUGUCAUCAACCAUACUAUCCUAAGUGCUCUCCAGAAAGAAGGCUGGUUUAGUAAAUGGAAGUAUUUUUGGUACUAUUAACUCCAGAGAAAAACAGUGGGAAGGGUACUAGGUCAACUUUCAGAGCAAAACCAUUCACAGACUAGGAAGCAUAAUUUAUGGACAUAAUAAGCUGGGACAAUGACAGGAGGAUUAUUGAAGAUAAAAUAUCCAAUGGUACUUAGUAAAACGCAAUAGGGAAUACUUUAUUUAGGAUUAAUGCAAUAGGUAUAGGGAAUGCGAGGUUUUGCAAUGGGGGAGAGAAAUUGGACUCAGCUCCCAAUACAGCAUGGGCAACUGGGAAUUUACAGGAAAAGGGUGGGGUAGAGGUCAUUGGACAGACAUUAUCUAAGAGGAAACAUCAAGGGUAAGGAGGAUUCUGGCUAAACUGACCCCACAGUAUUUUUGCUGAAGACAGGCCAGCAUGAUCAAACAUCACCUGGGGGGUGGUAGAGGGUGAGGAACCUAAUCAGACAUCAAAGAUGAUCAGAUAUUGAGGAUGGGGGGUUCUUGCCAGUCAGACUUAGCAGGGUUAUUUGCUAAAACUGUAUUUGACAAGGAAGUGCACAGAUGGGCCUAGGAGAAAAUUCAGAAGCCUAACUAAAGUUUGGCCCAGCAAAUGAUUUUGUAAAGAGCAAAAAGAUUAUAAGAAACAAAAUAGAAAAGUUAUCCACUGUAAAAAGAAAAAUGUUAAAAUGCAAAAUUUAUAUUGUAGACAGGUAUAAAAAUGCAUUUAAAGACAUUAAAAACAAGAUGGUGAGUGUGUGAGAAAGCCAAGGUAAAGCUCAUAGUUGUUAUUUAUUUCUUCGUAUUUUGCUUUGAGAUGAAAGUAAGGAAGGGAAAAUGGAGGGUGGGAGAGAAGAAAGAGAGGAAGGAAGGAAGGAAAGAAAGAAGGAAGGAAGGAAGGAAAGAAGGAAGGAAGGAAGGGAGGGAGGGAGAGAGGGAGGGAGGGACGGGCGAGCUAAUUCAGGGAUACUAAUUGAUGAAGCCUGCUUUUGAGAUGUCUCCUGAGCCGAAGUGUCAUUUGUAGGUAUGGACAGCAAGAAUGCAAAGUUAGGCAGAAAGUUAAGACCAAGGAUCAUGUCAGAAAGUAACAAUCUAGCAGGUUUUUUACUGGGUCAGGACCUGAGGAACUAAGAAGGCUGUAAGGCCAUGUAUACAUAGGUCAGUGUAUCAGCAAGAGCUCCAUUUUCUCUUUUCAGUCCCUAUUCAGGGAAGACAGAAGAGGCAGAAAUGUGUUUACAUUUAUUACAGCCAAUGGUUUAGUCAAUGUCCUGAACAAGCCUGUGUGCUCCUGAUUAAGGUAAGGGCAGAGGUGCUGGACCUCUGGGGAAUGAAUGCAGAAAUGAGAAAAUAUUGAGAUGUCAAUUGUACAAUUACUAAAUACUUUUUGACGUGCAUGGUUAAGGUUAUAGGAAAGAAGGAAAUUGAAAGAUGUACCUACAGGAAAAGAUAAAUGAGAUUUUCGAGCAAAAUGCACAUGUUCUAAAUAGAAGCUCUAUGGAUAGUGUUAAUGUAAAGUUCUAUAAGUAAGUGAAAUGGAUGUUCAGGUAAGUAAUUAAAACAACAUAAAUAUAACUGAAAAAUGUUGAAACUUUGUACAAUUUACAUAAGAAUAAAAUGAGAUAUAUAGUAGAAAUUUAAAAAUAUUAUUACAAACUUUAGUUAAAAUGUUCAGAUUGAGAAAAAAUUUUGAGGGGGUGGAUAACUGUGCCCUUCAUCAGCAAUUUUAGACAAUUGUUAAUUAUAGUAGAGAUGAUUCCAGUUAGUAAACAGCAUUGUGGUGAAUCACAGAGUCCCAUGAAAAGUAAGCUUUAUCUUGAUAGAAGAGAGUCAUUGAGUUCUGAUAACUAAAUACAUGCAGGGUAAUGUGUAUAGGAAACAUUAAGCUAAGAGUUAAAGAAAUUUUGGCCGGGCACAGUGGCUCACGCCUGUAAUACCAGCACUUUGGGAGGCCAAGGCAGAUACAUCACUUGAGGUUAGGAGUUCAAGACCCGCUUGGCCAGUAUGGUGAAACCCUGUCUCUAUUAAAAAUACAAAAAAUAGCUGGACGUGGUGGCACAUGCCUGUAAUCUCAGCUGCUACUUGGGAGGCUGAGGUGGGAGAAUUGCUUGAACCUGGGAGGCGGAGGUUGCAGUGAGCUGAGAUUGUGCCACUGCACUCCAGCUUGGGUGACAGAGCAAGACUCCAUUAAAAAAAACAAAAGGGAGGGAGGGAGGAAGGAAGGAAGGAAGGAAGGAAGGAAGGGAGAGAGGGAGGAAAGAAAAGAAAAGAAAGAAAAAAGAAAAGAGAAGAAAGAAACUUUUUUCUCCCAAGCUCUCAGUGGAAUAGAUUCUCUAUAUGGUGCUGCUCCCCUCCCUUCCUGCUGGAACCCAACGUGUGACAGAACAAUGCUCUGUGGUCAGAAAACAACUGUCCUAAAAAGCAGCACACCAGUUUGGUUCUAACUUUCUCACAGCUACCUGAACAUUGUCUAUUAAUUUGUUAAAAGAACAGAUUAUUAUGUCAUUACUAUGUGACCUUGGGUGUAAAAGAACAGAUUAUUAUGUCAUUACUAUGUGACCUUGGGUGUAAUACCAACUUUUGUGUCACUUUUCCUCAUCUGUUAAAUUGUUAAGUGGGAUAAUAGUUGUUGACCUUAUCUAUCCAUUCCUUCCUUCCUCCCUUCCUUUCUCCCUUCUUUCCUUCCUAGAAUCAAAUUAGAUAAUAUACAUGAGAGCACUUUAAAACUUAAAAAUUUGGUAUGUAACCACAGGCGUAGUUACAGUAUCUAAGGGAGUGUAGGUUUGCUGCUAUUGCGUGCAUAUUAUAUGCCAAGCCCAGUGCUAUGUCUUUAUAAUACAUUGUCCUUCCCAGAUUUACAUAAGGUGGUUGUCAUACACCUGCUACAGACAAGAAACCUGGAAUUCAUGGGAGUAAAGGGACUUCUUUGAGGUCAAAAGACAAAUAGAAGACUUUAGGAUUUGAACCUAGGUCUGCCUAAUUAUUUUCUGUGGUUUUAAGAGGAGCAGUUAUGAAGCAAAGCAAAAUGAUCUAUGUAUGUGGUUGUUUUCCUGUUGUGUUCUGAGAAAGAGUAAUGAUGACUCUUCUGUUUCCUUUAAAAAAAGACAAAAAGGGUCUGACUAGCUGCCUCUAUGGUUUAGAACCAGGAGAUAAUUUUGAGAACAUUAUUCCUUUUCCCUUAUUAUAUUUGUAUUAUUACAAUAUCUCAUCACUAGAACCUGAAGUUUUAAUAAGGCUCGUAAAGUAGGUGUUGAGGAGGGAGUGCCUCUAUGGGAAAUUUCAGAAAAUCCGUAGUUAAAAAAAAAAAAAAGAUAAUUUAAACAGGCCCUCUUCCAAAUAAGAACUUCUAUGGUUAACAUCUUUUCUUUUUCUUUUUUUUUUUUUUAAUGGAGGAGGGAUUUAUUGCAAAAUUUUAGAAAUGUUAUUCUCGUUACUAAAUAGCUAUGGGUUUCCUUCUCAGAAGAAAGCCAGAAGAUUCAGCUUGUAGUGUCAAUUAGUUUCAGAAACAAGUGACCAAUUACUUUUAUAAUCAUUUUCAAAAGGAACAAGUAGCAAUGAGGACACAGCUGAUAAUAGCUAAAUAUUUCGGUUUCAUUGUCCUGUCAAGGUGACUAGGGAAGGACUGCAUUCUUCCUGACAAAUAUCUGCUUUACAGGUUUAAGUUCCUUUGGGAUCUUUGUUGCCAGAGUGUAAAAGGCCUGGGAUAGUUGUUUUAUUUGAUACUAAUUCAGCCCGGCAAGCCAUAACCAGGAGUGUCACAUUUAAAUGCCUGGACACACUGCUCAUCUUUUCUCUGUGAUUGGUCUCAGAUUAUAGUACUGUGUCAAGGUUCAUUUGAUCCGAAGCAUUUCAGCAUCAGCUUUUACUUCUCCCUGGCUUCAAUGAAAGAAAUUUCUAUGAUGUAAAGAUUGAGGAUUUCUUAGCCAUUAAUAAUUUUAUUUAUAUUACUCUUCAGUUUCUUCUGGUGGAUCCAGCGAUAAUUUUUCUUCUUAGUGGUGAAACUGCUAAUUGCUAGUUGAGGAUAAGAUGGAGAGUUUUUAUUUUUAAUGUAAGUUUCUUGGGUUUUAAGGUAUUUCUUGACAGUUUAAGUAUUUUUUUGUAUGGAAGCCCAACUACUACACUGAAAAAAAAAAUAAAAAUAAAAAACGAAUCCAUGUAUCCUUUGUAUAAAUUUUAAAAAUCAAUUAAAGUGCUUCCUAGUAAACAUGGGAAUGACCAAUCAUCUUUUUCAUUCCAAAAGUGACUUUUCUCUACCAAUGGAAAUCUGAUUGUAAGUUAAAAAAUAUUUGACAGCAUUUUUAUUUAGAAUACAAUUUGCAAAUUUAGCCUAUACUAAGUGCAUAAGCUCUCCAUACAUUUCAUUUAAAUUUGCAGGAGUAUUCCUUUUUACUAAUUCUCCUUUAUCAUUUUCAGUUUGGUUGAUAAUAUGAAGAUGUUUAUAGGAAAUUUGACUAUAAGCCAAAUCUCUUGGAAAUAAUUAUUGUCAUCCAUAAAGAAUUAAAAGGUUGAAAUGUGAAGAAGACUGCAAUAAAGACAUAGAAGGCUUUCAUGUAGGAUAAAGGACAGAAUUAAAUUAAAUAUGGCAUUGAGGAGAAGUUAAGCCACUGUGUUUUACUUCAAAUAUUUUUACUUAAUCGGAUUUCAGUUAUUCAUUGUCCUUCAAGAUUAGGUUUUCUGUGGAUAACCUGCAGCUGCUUAUUUGCCAAACUAAGCUGGAGCUACUGUUUGUUCACACCUGAGUUUGUUAAUGGUUGCUGUAGAUGGUAUUUGGUGUUGGUUUUGUUAUCUUUGAUCCUUCUUUGAUAAAUGUACAGGAGUUAGAGUUUGAGAGUUAACAAUUUUGGUGGGUUGAGAUAAUUUUUUUUUUAAAGAGAAAGUUUUGACAAGCAUAAAAGUUUCAAAUUAAUAUUUUUUAGGAUCAUCUCAAGUGUCAAAAUGUGCAACAAUCAGCUUUGUUGUCCUAAAAAAAGAAAUCUGCAAAGCGUGUGGUUAAUUAGGUACCUUUUAUAUUUUGCUUCAGUUUAUUUUCAACUCUAAGUUAAAAAGAUAUCCCAUCAGCGACUGGUUUUAUAAGAAAAAAGAUACUAUUUUAAUCUUCAAAAAACAACAGCUUGCGGGGGUCAAUCUUUUAAAGUAUAUGCUUCACUGGUUGCAAUUAUUAAUCAGUUUCCUUCAGGAAAUAUAUGAAAUUAAAUAUUAAAGUACAGAUCUAAACAAAGCUGCAGUCUCAGGGCGUCUGAGGGCAUGAUUUCCUUAUUAGCUUGAAAUAGCUGACCUUCCUCAAUCCAGAUGUAGAGUCCACAUGAAUAUGAAAUCCCUCAUUUUAUCUGUAUACUUCAUCAUUUGGGCUUUAUCUACCUUUUGACACUUUAUUUCUUUUAAUAGACACUAUUUCUUAGACGUUAACUUUCCAUAAUGGCAUUGUUAACUGCUAACCAGUUUUGUUUAUUAAAAAGAAACUUUCACAGUACGCUCAGUUUGUUCAUUCACUCAGACAACAAUAUUUAUUUACCAUCUGUUACGUACCAGGCAGUACCUAGUUACUUGGAAUCAAUGAACAAAAGAAGAACGCUUUCCUCAUAAAGCUUGCAUUUUUGUGGCAGAUAAAAGAUAAUCAUGAACAUAUAUCAUACAUAUAUCACAUUACAUACUAUGUUAAAAGGUAAGUGCUGUUACAAAAAUGAAAAAGCAAAUGUAGAUGUGAGUCAUAGGGGCCAGAGUAUGUAUGGUGGAUGGGGAAGAGACUUGCAAUUAAAAUAAAACAACACAAAAGGAUGGUCUCUGUUUGCCUUCCUAUGAAUAUGACAUGUGGAUAAAGAUGUGAAGAAGGUGAGGAACUUGGCAGUGGGGAUUCCUGAAAGAAGAUCAUUCCAGGCAGAGGACUGAGCUAGAGCAAUGGCCCUAAAGUAAAUGCAUUUCCUGGAGUGUUUAAGGACAAACUGAGCAAGGAGAACAGCUCCCUGGAGUAUAAAGUAAGCAGAGAAGGAAUAGCAAGGAGGAGAUCAGAAAGAGGCAGGAGAGGCGUGGCCAGAUGCAGAUCCUGGAGGGCACAAUUGGCUGAUGUUCUUACACUGAGAUAAAUGGGAAGCUACUGCAAAGUUUUGGGCAUAAGUGAUGUCAUCUGACUUAUUUGCAAUCAGGAUGCAUUUUGAAUGUAGAGUCAACAGAAUUUUCUAAUGGAUUAGAAUUGAAUUCAAACAGACAUAAAAGUACAUGUGUUACCUAUAGAAGCCAUGGACACCUUGGCAAAUAACAUUCAUAGCAAAUAAUAAUAGUGAUAUUAAUGGUAAAUAAUGACAUCCAUAUUAUUGCCAUUGCCAGAUACUCUCUAUUUUACAUGAGAGAGUAAACACUCAAAACAUCCUGUAAAGGAUUAAUUAUUAUUAUUCCCAUUUUACAAAAGAAGCUGCAAAGUACAGAAAAAUCAGUUCCUUGUCCAAGAUAACAGCAGAAAAGGGACAGAGUUGGAUUUAAAUCUUGGCAUUAGAGAAUAUGUGCUCAUCAUCUGUACUAUUCAUAGUUUGAAACAAAGAUUAUACCACAGCCCCAAACAGGGAAAGGUAACAAAUACCUCUUAUUUAGAAUCAAUUUUCUUUUGCUUCUUUACAAGGAAAAAAUAACAGAGCUGGUAAGUGUUGACAGUGCUGAAGGCGAGUGACUUUAUUACUCCAGAUAGGUUAGCUUAUGCUGUGGGAACAACCAGUCUGUAAACAGAGGUUUAUUUCUCCCUAGUUGCAGCUCUGCUUCCUACUGCCUUCAUUUUGGACCUCAGGCCACUGAAGCAGUCCUUGUCUUGGGACAUGUCUCUAUCAUAAUUGAUGGGAGAGAGAACAUGCCACACUGUACACUUCCUCUUUAAUCUUCUAUCUGGUAGACAGAAUGUGCCUCUGCCCACCUUUCAUUGGCCAAAGCAAGUCAUGUGACCAUCCCUGAGUUCAGCAGAGCCUUGCUAUAUACAUGUCCCACAGACAGGCCCCACAGAGAGGAAAAUGAAAUAAUUUCUGAGUAGAUUCUGAUCUACCACAAGGGCGCUGCCUUAUUUUUAAUCAUGCUUACAUACUUUGCAGCUGCUAAUCUGCUGACAUUUUCCGAAGGUGGCAAGGACUAUAAAUAAAGAAAAGAUAAAACACAGUUAAUGUAUUUCUUGGACUGGGAGAAUUCUUAGACUAUCUAAACCAGUGCCUAGGCAGAGAACCCUCGUGAAGAAAUUUGAUUGAUACGUUUCCUGAUUGAGGCUAUGGAGUUGAGUGGGAGGGAGGCUUCUGUGGAUUUUUCUCAACAAGUUGAUUUUAAGAAUCCAUAAGACCCUUUCUUCACAUUCACUCAACGUUCACUCACUGAUUUACCCAGAGCAACUUCCGGUUCUGCAGGUUCCAUUCGUGGUAGAUAUUUUAUACAGGUGUACUUUGUCUUUUAUACUUUAUUUUUACUGCAUUUUUUUAUAUUUAGAGACAUAAAUACUUACUAUUCUACUACAACUCCUACAGUAUUCAGUAGAGUAACAUGCCAUAUAGGUUUGUAGCCUAGGAGCAAUAGGCUAUACCAUACAGCGUAGGUAUCUAGUAGGCUAUAACCUCUACGCUUGUGUAUGUACAGUACACUCCAGGAAUGUUCACACAAUGACAAAAUUAUAUAACAAUACAUUUCUCAGAACAUAUCCCUGGUGUUAAGCAACAUAUAACUAUAUAUACCACCUUUUCUUUAUCUCUUCAUGUGAUGAGGACACUUAGGUUGAUUCCGUAUCCUUGCCAUUUUCAAUAAUGCUGCAGCAAACAUAGGAGUGCAGGUAUCUCUUAGACAUACUGAUUUUAUUCCUUUCGGAUAUCUACCCAGUAGUGGGAUUGCUGAAUCUCUGGCAUUGUUUUAGAUAUAAGGUGUAAGAUCUGUGACAGAAAUUUUCUUGAGAUUUAGGAUAAUUUGAUGAUACUCUUAUAAGUGUAAUUUACUGUCUUUCUUCGAGUACUGUUUUGCUAGAGAUUCUCCAGUGUGCAAGGCAUUCACUCUAAUUUCUCUUUAAACUCCAUUCCUCGACACUGCUCCACUUCUCUUAUAGAUCUAGAAGUGGUAUAAAUCAAAUUGAUCUGCAAAUGGAAAAAAUGCAGAAUUCUCUCAUAAACAGUUGGUUUCAAAAUUUAAUAUUACAGCUGUUCACUGGGCAAUGAGCAAAGUUUGGUUUUUAAAAUCUGAAUUCAUUUUAUUUACUCUUUGCAAAUAAUUUACUUCAAUACAUUUAAAAACUAAAGUUUUGUUUUGUUUUUGAUUUUAAAGAUAAAAACAUUCUCGUAGUUUUCAGACCUAGAAAAACAAACUUCGUAUUGUAUUGUAAUGAUUUUCAGUUUUUUACAAAGAACUACCUGUUUUAUUAAAUUGUAGACCCUUCAUGUAACAAAUCUCCUUUCUUUUCCUUUAUCUGAAAUGAUAACUCUAGAACUUUCGCACAAAUAAUCAAAACUGUGAAUAGAAAUUCGUCUUUCUGUUUAACGAUGAACUUCUUUCUUACCUGAUAGGUUUCUUUUUCCAAAGAGGAACAGGACUGCUAAAUUUAGUACUGUCAAAUACUCCAGGAUCAAAGCUCUCUGCUAAGUCCUCAAAAUGGAAUAGCUGCCACCAGCCUUUCAACUACAAGUCUUUAUGAAUCUGGACUUUUUGGACUGAAGGUAGUCUGUGAAUUGAAUUUCCUUUAUAAAGUUUUACUUCGGAUUUGUGCCCUUAGCUUCAUUUCCCCUCAGGGAUCCUUUAACUUCACGAGAAUAUUCUCUGGAAAAUGAUCCCUUUCAGUGACUUGUGCCUGAGUCCUCUCAGAAUAUUCCUAUUCAUUGCCAAUGCUCCAAGACUUCCUAGUGUAAUUCAUUAUUAAAUUCAGGAUAUAACAUUUAAUUUUUAUAGGGAUUAUUUAUAUCCUGACAUUUCCUCAUCUUGUUGUUGCUUUCCUCUGAUCUAAAGCUAGAUUUUUGAAUAUAGUAUUGAUUUACUUCAUUUUUCUUCCAUAAAUAAGGUAGUAGAAUACAAUAGUCUUCUCUCUUUGGUAGCUAGAGAACAGAGCCUGCCCCUAGGCCCUGCUCCUAUUUCUUACUGGUAUAAACUGGCACAAUGCAAUCCAGCAUAGCCAGUGUACAUUCAUCAUAUCACAUUGGAAAGCAGGAAACUAUGUUAUAAGAAGUGAUUCAUAUGCAAAUCUGAAAAGCUCUUUACCUACUCCUUAGAAAUGACUUAGAUUUAAAUUGCUCCUCAUUUAUGAGAAUAAUAAUGAACUUAAUUGUUCUUCUGGAAUAUCUGUGCUGUUGUAAGGAGGAACCUUCCAUACUUUUAGGACGCAUCCAAGAGCUAUUUCCACACUGGGAAGAAAGCGAUCGUCGUAUAAACACUUAAAUCCUUAGAUAUCUAAUACCUUUAUAAUUUGAAUGUAUAGACCCAUGGAUAGAACUGCCAGUAGACAUAGACAAAAUUAAUAUGUUCAUAUGUUAAUGAAACUUGUUUGGCUUUUUCUUUAAAAAUGUAUUUUGUGUAUGGAGGAGAGUAUUAAAUUUGAGUAUUAAAUUUGAGAAAAUUUGCUGACAGAUUUUUCCUACUCACUAUUGAAGAAUUAAGGCAGUACCAUUCAAAUUACACAGCUUUGAAGUUUAUCUGUUUCCAUUAUGAAUUUUUUAAAAAGAUUUGAAAUUACAUGAAAAUCAAAUAUAGAUAGUAAUUAUAUAUUCUAUCGCAUUUUGGGGCUAUUUAAUAAACCCAGAAAUAUAAGCAAUUAAAAUAGUUGAUCCUACUGCUAGCUUAUGUUUUAAAAAGUUGCUUUCAUAAUUACCUUAUUUUUUGAAAGUGCAGAUUGAAAGUAAUUCAAAAGGUGGCCUACAAUUCCCUUUUCCAGUAGGUUUUUAUCUUAUUUUGUCUGUGUUGAAAAGAAACGUAUCUAUUUUUAACUUGGAGUUACAUUAUUAUAUUUUGAUUAAAUGUAAUUUUUCGUACUUAUUCACAUGAUUUUCAUACUAUUUUUAACUCUUAAAAAAAUUCUAGUGCUUAUGACAAUUUUUACCUCAUAGUAGAUAUUCAAGUCCGAAAGUUAUGGAUUUGAAACCACUCAGUUAAAUAUUUUGUAUUUUAAAGAAAUAUUUUACAAUUCUUAGUCGGCUUACUCUUUUUAUACAAUCCAGUUUGGUGCCUCCCACUCCCCCAACCCUCGCAAAAGUGGAUUUGAACUAGGGUUAAUUACGUUUUCUAUGAUAAUUUUAAGAUAUUUCUUAGUUGAAUUACUUCAAGUACCUCCAUAGAGGUAUCUCUCUCAGCCUUGCUGUACAUGGGUUUCAUCUUUGAAGUUGCCAACCAGGUAAGCUUCUUAAUAUAUACUUUGAUCUUAAUUAAGAGACUUGCUUUAACGAUUUCCCAUUGAUUUUCAGAUAAAAUUUAGAUUGUUUAAUGGGCAACUCAAGUCCUUCUUCAUGUGGCUUUGCCUUUCCUUCCAGCCUCAUAGCCUGUAGGGCGUAUUCUAAAUUACUAAAGCACUUUUCUUGUCACAAACACACUUUGCCCUUUGGCAUUUCUGGAUCAUUGCGUUUCUUCUGCCUGAGUGUGCAUCUUUCCCUUCACCCAUGCUACUAGAUUUUAGUAAUCUUUUAAGGUGUAUAUCUGAUAUUUUUUUCUGAUGAGCUUUGCCAAUUGUCGUGUAUUUAGGCCAAACCACUAGCUCUUUUCAGUGUUUACACUGUCGCUGGCCCUUCCUGGAAAAGGAGCUAGUCAAAUCUCUGCUUUACAGUCUUCUCUCCAUGAUAACUUGGGCUUCUUUAAGAGAGAUGUCUCUUGCCUCAUGCCCAGCUCUUGGAAUAAUACCAGGAACAUAUUAGGUACACAAUACAUGGUUUUGUUUUUGCUAUUUAUUGAUUUAUUUUGUUGUUGUCAUUUGAUAAAUAAUCCACAACCAGUAAAUUAAAAUCCCUGAAGUAUCUUAGACUAUGGAAUUUAUGAUUUGUGUAGAUAUUGCUUGUUUCUAGCAGAACAAACAUUUUUGCAGGAAUAAGUGAAAUAGCUACCUUUUCCCCCACAAAAUACUAUUAAAAAUAUCAGCGUAUUAAAAAGUUAUUCACCAAGGACUUCUAUCCAUGCCACUUCUAAUCAAGAUACACUUGGAAAUUUAGACUCCUUUCAGUCUCCUCUAUGUAAAUACCAGGUGGCAUAAUGCUUAUUACAUACCAUACAGAAUCUUUUCAGAUCAAAGAAUCAUUGUUCGGUUCUAUUUCUUGUCAGUUUAAAUGUACCAUAACAGUGGAAGUAUGCCUUUUCAAUAUGCUGCAUGAAUUUAUAUCAAGGCUUGAUAAGUGAACUGUCAGAAAUCCUAAAUUCAUCAGAGAGGGCAUUAUUUUUAUAUAGAUAAAAAGAUAUAGUUCUUCAUUCUAUUACACGAAUUGUCAUCAUAAUAUUAUAGUGAAAGCUAAUGAACCAUUCUCUGGCAUUUGAAAAGCCAGUUAACAUGGUGUUUUCCUGACGAAGCUCAAGUUUAUAAAUGAAUUAAAUCUAUUUGCGUGGGCGUUGUAAUGAUUAUGAUAUUAUUCCUCAAUGUUAUAAAAUAACUACUUUCUGCCCCCAGUUAAGACCCGCAUGACCUACAAAAGGAAACAAGUCAUAUUCAUUUAAUCAAAAUAAGAUAUGUAGGGCUUUAGCGGGAAAAUAAUCCUAUAAGGAAAAUUAGUUGCCAUAGCAAACAUUUCUUAUUGAUAUCUGAGUUGUAUAUUGGGCUUAAAACAGAAUUUGCUGUCAUUCAGUGCUAACCAAGCAUAGACAGAGCCACACCCUUGAUAAAGUUCUAGGAUAAGUAAAUUCAUGUUCAAUAUCCUUUGCUUAUCUCCUAGUCAAGAAACUGUUAAAGAACAGUAUCAAAAAUAAUUCCCAGUGACUUUUUAUCUGUAUUUUAUCUCUUUUUUUUUGAAAUUCCCUUGAAUUUUAGAUGAAUUCUGGUUGUCAUAAGAAGGGCUCUGUUGGAUGGAGGAAAGGCAUGGUUAUACUAUGAGCUAAGAACAAUUGUCAGUCCUUGCAAGCAUCUUCUGCCAACUUUUAAAGAACUAAUUUCGGAUUUUCUUUGACUUCUUAGAUGAAUAAAUUAUUUAAAAACGUCAAAUAUGUUCACUUACUGGUACUUGCUAUCUGCCUAUUGUUACAGUUUUUAAAAUAUUUUUACUUAUAUUUUUAUAUAAAAUAAAAUAUAAAUACAUAGGCACAAAAUAGAAAGACUAAAUAAUCUAUAAAGUGAAAGCAAAUAUAUAUGAUAUGUAUUUAUAUAUCAUUAUAAAAUAUAAAAAUACAUUUGCAUUCUAUUAGUAUCCCUAGUCCUAAACUUACCCUCUUUGAAAUAUUGAACUGAAUGGUGAUAUUUAGUUUUAGCCAAAGCUCAUUGAUCCAUUUGAUUCAAUUCAAUAGCUAAUUCUACCUUUCAAGAAUCGUGAAAAACUUUAAGCUCAAUCCAUUUUAUCUCAACUGAAUGCUAAAAUGACAGCAUUAAAAAAUCACCUAUCCUGAGUUUUUCAAAUUUCUGUAUGUUAAUUGUGUUCUUUAAAGCAUUCACACAACUCACUAAAUAUUUUAUAUUUGCUCAGCUGUUCUGAUAUUGUAUUGGAAGAAUCUAUAGCCCAGGUUUUUUCUCUAACCUGGAGAGAUGUAUAUCUUCAGUUCACACAAUUUCCCUUAAUGUUUCACCUGAAGUUGAGGUUAGAAUGUUUUCAAAUUGCAAUUUGAUGUUUUGUUUAGCAUUAGAUACAGUGUUGAAGAAAGUGCUGAAAUUGAAAUCUGAAAAAUUGGGUUCAAAUUCUGACUCAGCUAUGUAUCAGCUGUGUGAUUUUAGAUAGAUCACAUAUCUUGUAUAAAAGUUAAUUUUGUCCUUCUAAAGCUGAAAGUAAUAAUGCUGACUUAACUCCUUCUGAGGACUUUUUAGAAGGAUCAGAGAAAUAUAGGAUAUAGAUUUAUUUUUAAAUGCAAGUUAUGAUAUAGAGCUGAAGUAUUUAUCUUAGAAUAUUACAGUUUGUUCCUUCAUUUACUGUGUGAAAAAUACAUACAGAGAAGGCAAACUACUAGAAGUGUAGUGGGCUCAAGUUUCGACAGCCAGAAAGAGUUUGUGGUGAGAUUGUUAAAAGUUUGAUUCCCUCACCUCUUGAACAGAUUUCUAAAAUAUUCUAUUUAAUCACUGAGUAGUAUGUUGUUAGAUGCUUUCCUAGAUAGGACAGAAUUUUUAAGUUUACUGAUUUUGUAAAUAAUUGUCCUUUCUCAUUUCCCUCACCCCAAGGAAAAAAAAAAAGAGUAUAUAGUGUUAAGGUAACAGUUUAAGGAGUCAGACAGACAUACAUUCAUAUUCAAGCCUGACAUUUAGAUUCUUGAACUCUCAGCUUAUUUUUAUUUGUAAGAAUGGGAGUCAGUGUAUUAUUUUAUAUUAUCAUUUUAAAUGGCAAAUAUUCCAGGAACUUGCUGCGUUCUUUCACAUUUCCACAGGUUGACACAUGCUCUCCCUUCCUGGAAUGCUCUUUCCCAAUCUGUCCACCCGGAAAGCCUCUGUGUAUCCCUUCAGCUUAAUCUCAGAAGUUACACUGUCCUCAGCAAUGCCUUCUAUGACGCAUCAGCCAGCUUAUAUGUCCCUUUUUGUAUGCUCAUGUCACAUAUGUAAUGUGACCCCCCACUAAAGCUAUUAGAUUAUUGGUUCAUAACUUUUUAUUUGAUUGUUCUUGUCCAGUUAGACUGUAUACUGUUAGAGGAGAGAGAAUGAUGCAUAGGAGGUAGUAUAUGAAUAAUGAAUGAAUGAACACAGGAAACACUUAAGCCUAUAACAUUUAAGGCAAACAAAUGUUUCUCUCUUUUCUGUAUGUAUAUAUGUGUGUAUUUGUGUGUGUGUGUAAUUUUAAAUAUUAGAAUUUAUAUUUUAAAAGUAAUUAUAUAUGCAGUGUUUUAAAAUUCAUCUUCUGAUUGUCACAUGCCGUGAUUAAUAUUUUGAGGGCUGAAAAGAUGACUUAUACUAGCGGCAGAAUGAUGAAAAACCAAGUAUGAUAUUGCUUUCUUUUAGGAAGUGCAGAUUUUGAUAGGAACAUUUGAAAUGUAAAUUUUACACCAAGAAUCACAAAGUUCAUAGAUUUUCCAUGAUUAAACUCACCCAAACUAAGGUGGAAGUUUUUUUCCAUGAAAUAUUUGGUGGGAGUUAGGAAUAAGCUGCAGAAUUUCUUUAGUGGCCGCUGUAUUUUCCCCAGUGACACCUACUGCAUGGGAUUUUAAGUGAAUUAGUAACUAAAUACAGUGAAAAGCCUUCUGUUAAGUGCAUAAGAUAUUUGAGAUAAUCGGUAUUAUUACUACAACAAAACUACGUGUAAAGCAGGUUCACAAAAAUGUGACUCUUUACUGGAUUGCCUUGUCAUAUAAAUCUUUAGGGAUGAUUUCUGCUUUCAACAUAACUUUAAAAUUCAUUAAGCAAUAAUUCAAAAAUGACAACAUCUCAAAAAUCUGGCAAGAAUAAUUUACCUUCUUGUUAAGACUCUUACCUUUUGAAAAAAUAUAGAAUCUCAUAUACUGGAACUAUUCUAAGGACUGAGAGGGUGAUAAAAUCUUAGUUGUAAUACCUUCUAAGUGGCAAAUGGCUCAUGUCUUCUACUUUAAUCUAUGCUGGAAAUUUAUAUGCAUGUUUCAGAGAAGAACUCAUUUGUAACUGAAAAUACAAUAAAACUGAAAUAAGUGGCCAGAAAAUUUUAAUAGUUAUUUAAAGGCAGACAGAUCUCUACUCAUGCAAAAUUUUUAUAUGAAAUGCUUAAUGUACGUUUUCUUCAAAGUUAACUCUUUCUUACAAAUGGAAUAAAAUGAUUCUAACAUACAUCAUAGCCCAAGAAAGUAAAACAGUGUAUUUUCUAUGUACCAUGGAAUUUCCAAACUUGAUAUUAUAGUUAAGAUGAGUUUGAAAAUCCCAAUGAUAAUAUUUUGGUUAUUGGCAUACCAGCAUAGAAGAAGUCUUUCAUCCAUAUGUAAUAACGUAUGUCAGGGAAAUAGUAAUGAUUAAUGAAUAAUUCUUGCCAGUAUUUGGUUGAGGGAAUCGUGGUACAGAUAAAUUAGAUAGUAUGUCGUGUUUAAGGUCACAACUGGCCUUCAGUUUAAAUUCUGUAACCCUAGCUUCUCUAUUAGCGGACUAUACUUACUUGAAAAACAUAUUAAAUAUAGUUUAUUUCAAUAAAAUAAAAUAUACUCAAACAUCUCUGGGUGACUGACAGAGAAACUUCAAAUUUGCCUUUCUUUAAGUCAUUCUUAAAACGUGUCAUCCUCAACUUAUUUAUGUCUGUGGCCCAUUACUCUUUUUAAGAGAUUUGAUUCUUAUUCUUCCUUGUUGAGUAUAAUGAAACUAGAGUUUACAAAGAUCUUGAGUUAGGCUACAUAAUGUUCUGCCUAAUGUGACUGGGGCAAAUAUGUCUGAUGUCUGGGCAGGGGCAGGGAAAUACUUCUGCCCUGUUUUUCAGCCUCUCUCUGCCUGCUGUGGCCAACUGAAAGAUUCCUGUCUAGAUAGUGGAGCCACAAAGUCAAGGCACCUCGGAUUACUGAGACACACUAUUUAAAAUAGCUGCCCUGGAGUUUUGUAGAUACAGAAUUUACUUUAUGUCAAUGAAAGAUAUUUUAUUAAUACUUAUUAUGAUACUCCUAUGAUAUGACACUAGGCCUUGGAGUUUGUUACUACAGUAUAACCUACUCUAUCCUGCCUUGUAGAUAUUUUCAUAUGAUGUAUCAAAUAAAUUGCAAUCAAUAAAUAUAUCCAAUACAUGAAAAUAUGAAUUUAUAAGGAAAUAAAGUUAUAGCAAGUAUCAUAAAUCUAGUUCAAUAUUAGAUAACUUUCAGAAACAGCUACUGCACAAAGAAAAGAACACUGAUACCCAUACAUAUUUUAUAUAGGAAUAUUAAAAAACCUUGCCGGAAUUACUUUACUAACAUAAUCAUUAAUAAUACUAGAAAUAGAACCAAGGUGGACUGCAUUUCUGUGACUCUCUAUGUGCUGUAGAAUGUCAUUGUCUUUGUCCAUUUAUUUAUGCCUUUCCUGUUUCCAUUUAUAAAGCACUGUAUUUGUUCUGAAGCAAGUAGGGUCCUAGGUCAGAGAGUGUGUAGAUGAUGAAUUGGAACCUGACAACUGGGGACCUGAAGUGGCUUCUGAUACAGCACAAAUUCCAAAGUAGUAUAACUCUGGAAGUAAGAAAAAUAAAAGACAAUACAAAACAAUUGAAAGAGUCACAUAAUAGCUUUUUAAACCUAACUCAUCAUUAGAUAGAUAACAUUUAAUAAACCUAAUUUCUUUUUGUGUGUGGCUUUGCUUUUUUGUAUAUAGUUUAGCAUUUUAUUGCUACACAUUUACUAAUGUUAUGACAUUACAUAUUUUUCUGAGAAAAAUAUCCAGUUGUUAUAUAGAUGUUCACUACUUCAGAGAAAAAUCAUUGACCAUAUUGUAAAAAAAAAGAUAAGUGUAAGUUGUUUCCCAAAACCCAAACUGAGCCUGCAUUCUACCCUAUAUACAUAAUCAGGAAUGCAGAAUUUAAGUGUUCAUAUUUAUGUGUUAUUAAAAAUUAUUUUAGAUGUAUGUACCUCAAGAGCAUUGAUAACUUUUUAACAAUAGUGAAUUAGUUAAAUAAAUUAUUUUAAAUUUACAAAAUGGUUUCUUAAAAAGUUUUCAAAACCAGCAAAGAUUUAAAGAAAUUUUUUACAGGCUGGGGUUGGUGGCUCACACCUGUAAUCCCAGCACUUUGGGAGGCUGAGGUGGGAGGAUUACCUGAGGACAGGAGUUCAAGCCCAGUCUCGCCAAUAUAGUAAAACUCCAUCUCUACUAAAAAUACAAAAUAGCUGUAAUCCCAGCUAUUUGGGAGGCUGAGGCAGGAGAAUUGCUUGAACCCAGGAGGUGUAGGUUGCAGUGAGCUGAGAUCACGCCACUGUACUCCAGCCUGGAUGAUGGAGUGAGACUGUGUCUCAAAAAAAAUUAAAUAAAUAAAUAUAUUUCUUACAACAGAUUUAAAGUUUUGAAAAAUUCUCAGCAUGCAUUGCUAAAGAAAUAGGUAACAAAAUAUUACACAUAAUACAAUUCUUAUUUUCCAAAAGGUAAUUAUAUUCUGUAAGUAUUUUUUGCCCAAGGGAAGCAACUUCAAGUUUUAUUGAUAAUAAUAUGAUAGACAAUAAAAAUAAGACAUGGUAAAUUUAUUUCUGGCUACAUUCUGCCAAAUGCUUUAUUUUAUUUUUAAUUUGAUAUAAUAUGAGGAACAAAAGAAAGCCUUUUUGGCAUUACAUGGACAAAUAAAAAUAAAUUAAUGGGGUAGAGUAAUACAUAGAACUGUCAUUUGUAAUUUCAGUUAUACCUGGGGAAGAUUCGAUUAUCCUCAGAGAGAAGUAAGGUCUCCGAAAAGUUAGCCAAAAUUAGAGGUUAAAAUGAUAAAGAAACAAAGCAUGCCAAAAUUUUGAGCAAAUGGGUUCUAUGAUAUAUAACUAUAAGGUUUGGUUUGAUUGAAUAUUUCUGAUAAAAAUUCUUUUUAAGUAUGUAAAAACAAUAUGUAAAAAACAAAAUGUAAAAGUCAUUUUAUUUAAAUGACUUUUCCCACUCAAUUUUAAGAAAUGAAAAGGAGAAAACAAGUAAUUUCUUAUGAGGUUUAACAGUAAACUAUUCAAAAAAUGAUAAAAUUCAAAAGUCAAAUCCGUCAUUUUUGUAUUUACAGAGAUAAGAGCAUAGUUGGUAGUUUUGUGUGGUUUAUUUACUUUACAGUUCUAUCCAGAGUCCAAUCACAUUUGUUAUGCUGAACACAUUUUUAUUUUUUCUUGAGAAGUUUGAAAAACAUAUAGCUGAUUUGGAAGCAUAUUCCAACCAGGAGAAAGUACUGUUUUCCUUUCUUUUUAAAUUCAAGGACAUGAGGACAAGUUUUUAGAAUCUAUUAGUAAGGGUAUCCAAUACUCUUCAACUCUCCCCACUUAAUCUUCUCAUUGUCUAAAGUUUGAAUAUGAAGCCAUGAUCCUAAUUAUUCAGAUACUGAAUAGGACAAGAGCACAAGGAUGAAAAUUUUAGAGCAUAGAUUUCUAUGUUCUGAACAAGAAUAUGGUAAAUUAUGCUAAGCUACUAGAAGACUGCAAGCAUAGAAAAACAUUCUAUUCAUUAUAGAAUAAUUCUAAUACAUUUUUGUAAUAAAUGAACUAAUAGUUUCUGUCAUUAUUAGAAUUCAAAUAUAAAUGUAAUCAUGGUGAUUUUUGAAAAAUCUUACUGGCACAUGUUGAUAAAAUUUUACUAGAGCAGAACAGGAUGUCUGCUGUAUUACUCUUGUUAAUUUCUUACCUUUUUGUAAUGCUAAAUGAUCAACAUUAACAAAAUGUUUAUAAACAACUUAAGUAUCUUUUCUUGAGUAUAUUUUCUUACCCUAACAAAAGCUAAGGAUUAAUUUAAAAAUAUCUUCCACUAAGUAACAGUCACAAUACAAUUAUACUAUACUAUUGUGAAUACUUUGGGGGUACUUGCUCAAAAUAAAUCCCUUGGAGCAAUUCCAAGGAUUACUCUUUGAUUAUGUUUCAGAUCACCUUUCUUGGUUCUUGAGAGUAUAUUUUGGUUUUGAUAUGUAUUAUGUUACAAUGUUUCUACUUUUCUUCUGUUCAGAGUUCGAAAAUCAGCAGUCAAUAUUUUUCGGUGGAGAUGUUUACUAGAGUCCAAUGUCAAGAUCAAACGUUCUCAUAAUCUUAAAUGACAUUACCUUUCCUGUCACUAGUUAGCUACCCCUAAGUUUGCAGUUCUCACCUAUGACCCACAUGAUUUUAAGACAAAUUUCUCAUGAAGAAGAUUAUUUAAAAGUGAAUCCAAAAGUUUAGAUGAUAUAAAUUGUUCUGAAAUUAAUUCUGAGUGAUAUCCUACCACUUCUCAUUCAAUAAUCCCCUUUGGAUACAGAAUGCAUUCUUUGAGUUGCUACCUUUCCUCUUUCUUUUUGCUCUUUUUCGUUGGCCAGAUUUUCUUUCUGUCUUAUCCACUUCUGUAUCAGCCAAUGGCAUCUAGGCAGCAAAGGUUGCCUUUCUUCCUGCAUUUAUUCUGGAUUGUCUUAUUUUCCAUUUGGCACCUUAUAGUCGUUAAUUUAUUUGAACAAAUUACUUAAGAGAAGAAACAAUAUAUGGGAAUAAUAUUCCAAUUAAGUUUUUCUUCUUUUUAGUUAGAAAAUAGAAAUUAAGCUAUUGGAGAAUUUUAAAUGCAUGUGAAGCCUUAUAGUGCACUCACUGUAUGGAAUUUUAAUACUAAUAUGUUCUAAAGUUUAGUCAAAAAUCACCAACUUGUUGACAUAUGAUUACAGAAUGAGCAAGAGGUGUUAACUUUAGUAAAAGAUUGUUGAAUAUACCAAAAUAAGCAACAUUUGAUCCCACGUUCAAUGUAUACGUACAUGUAACAUGUAAAUAUGUCUGUAUACACCUCCCCACACGUGUGUGAACUGGGUUAUCCCUUUAUAUCUCAGCUCAGAAGAAAAAAAUUCAAUGUAAAGCUUAACUACAGGAACAGUCUCUUGCAGUGUCAAAUAAGGUAUAAUUAUUUAAAAGGCAAAAUAUACUUCACAGUGCACCUUAUAAUCAUUUUAGUGGCAUGCUUGUUUAUAUGUGAGAGAGACUGGAAUAGUGAGACAAGACCUAUCUGUGUUAUCAAUCUAAUUAAAUUACAUCUGGCAAAUGUACAAGGAUUGUGUAUAUCCCAAGUCGAACCUUGUUAUCCAGGAGAGAUUGCUUUUAGGACCCCUGCAGAUAACAAAAUCUGCGAGUGCUCAGGUCCCUGAUAUAAUAUGGUGUGAUAUCUGCAUACAACUACGCCAUCCACCCAUAUACUUUAAAUCAUCUUUAGAUUACAUAUUAUACCUAAUGCAAGGUAAAUAUGAUGUAAAUAGUUGUUAUGUUGUAUUGUUUUCUUAUUUGUAUUUAUUUUUGCUAUAGCGAUAUUUUCAUUUUUUUUUCCCCAAACUAUUUUCUGUCCAUAGUUGGUUGAAUCCAUGGAUGUGGAACCUGGACAGAGGGCUGACUGCAAGUUAUGUCUAAGAAGUUAUACACAUAACUUAUUAGUUAUACAUCCAUUGUAACUUUUCUUAUUAAAUAUAAACAGGAAGCAAAAGACUGUCAAAGUGGGUAUUAUUUAAAUAUAUGAGUUACCACUAGCUCCAUCAGCAAAGACUUCUCCUUGCUCUCCACCAGUGACACACAUAUGCUCUCAGCAUGCAUCUUAAGCUCCUAUCCCUUAAUAAUAUGUUCUGUAGUGUUAACUUGAGUUUCUGUAAUUAUGUCACUAUAAUACAGCACAUUGCAUACACAUGAAAUAUCAUACCUUUAUAACUAUGUCCACUUUAUUACUGGAUCUAAAUAUGUUUUACACAGAAUACACACAAUUUUUUCUAGAACUUUCAUUUUCCUGCCCAGAAGAUAUCAGACAAAAUAUAGCUUAAGUGAACCCUUGUUUGAAAAUAAAACCCUCAACUAUUUUGAAGGAAAAAAUCCAGAACUAGCUCAUAUGACUGCCAUUUACAUUUAGCUUUUCAGAACUUAAUAACAUGGCUAUGCCUGGCUGCUGAGAAGGCUGGAAACAGCCAUACACAAGGAGAACUUGGGCCUAGCCAAAACUCUGUUCUUACGGAAAAAAGAUUGAGUUUCGGGAAGACGAGUAGUCUUUUGUAGUCUUUUCUACCUUCCUAGACUAUUUGGUUACUCUUGGUUACUUUGCUUUGUGAAAACAAAGCCAUUUAUAUAUAACUUUUUUUUUUUUUUUCUGAGACAGGGUCUCACUGUGUUGCCCAGGCUGGGGUGCAGUGGCACCAUCUUGGUUCACUACAACCUCCGCCUCUCAGACGCAAACAAUCAUCCCACCUUAGCCUCCGAAGUAGCUGGGACUACAGGUGCAUGCCACCACGCUUGGCUAUUUUUUUUUCUUUUUUUUGGAGGUAGAGACAGGGUUUUACCAUGUUCAAGAACUCCUGAGCUCAGGGUGAUCUGCCUGCCUCAGCCUCUCAAAGUGCUAGGAUUACAGGCAUGAGCCACCAUGCCCAGCCCAUUUGCACACAACUUUUAAAGCAUAAAUCCCAUCAUUUUGUAAAGAUGAAUAUCUUGAAUGCACAAAUUCCUUAUAUGUCUCUGAGCACCCCAUGCAAAAAAUUAAAAACUAGGGACUUAGUAAAUGUUGGUCGAAUAAGUGACUUUUCUGAGUUUAGAAUCAUCCAAGUCAUCACCAAUCCAUGUUUACCCCCAACGUAAGCAAAACAUAGCAAAUAAAUAGAUGAGUGCUGAAAAGGGGGAACAUUUAACUUAUAAUCUGCCAUAAGAGAAAGGUCACUCAGUUAUUCUAAACUCUUGGCCAUCAAAGCCAAUAACUUAUGUAGAUAAACAGAAACAAAAACAAAACCGUAUACAGUUUCAAAGGACAUGAUGUUUUCAUUUGUAGACUCAUUAAUGCUUUAUAAAUAGCCAAACUAUGAAGGAUGUCUAGUUCAAGACAACAUUAAAGGUUUUGAGGACAGAAAAAUAUUCCUGAUAUACACAGUUUUCUCUGCCAUAUACCAGUAUUUUUGUAGGAUCCUUCUUCACUGUACAAUUGUAGCUCAGUUGGCUUAUGCAUUGGUUUCCAGCCGUUCUUCAUUGAGCUCUUUUCAUUCCAGCCCAUAGUUAUUUUCAGGCUCAACUGGAAAUGAAUGCAGUGAUCACCUGAUGAUACUAAUUCCGUCUAGACUUCUUUGUAUUCUGAGACUGAACACACAUUAUUUUUGGCUUGACACUUUUUUGUAUUGAUCCUAAGAAUUCUGUGCAAGGCUUAUCUUUUCUGUCUAGCCUCAGGAGUCUGUCAGGAUGAUACGGCCAUUAAAAUGUAGGUUUGAUGAUAGGGCAGACAAAAGUCAGAAGCAUUUGUAUAGUGCAUUAUUUACCUCAGGAGUAAUUGUACUUGGAUUUCAACUUGAAAGAAGACACUAGAAUAUUUCAGGAUAUGGAAACAUUUUGCUAUAAUAAAAAUCAUAUUUAUUUUUAUUUUUCUCCCACACCAUUUUAUGAGGUUCACUCUUAAGUGGUCUGCUUUAUAUGAUUAUGUAGGAGUGAUGCAUCCCAGGUUAAUCAUUUAUCUUGCCCAUGCAUUUCUCCCCUCUGCCCUUCUUGCCUCUUCCCCCUCAAUGGUGCUUCAGAGCACGGGGUUACCUUGGAACUCAACAGACAUUUUUUUUGUCUGUCUGACAACCACAGGUGUCCAUGAACAAGCCCCUAAAAAGGACCCAACAACAAAGAGUAAAUACAGUUACAAAGAUUCUUUGGUACUCAAUUAGCAAUGCUUCUUAAAAAGCCAAAAGAAAUAGAAUUAUGACAUCCCUUUCUUUUAUAUUUAGAAAAUCUGAAAUAUUUGUGAGAUCCAGUCUUCCUUAGUUUUUUAACCUAAUAAACACCAUUCAUCACGUGUAUUCUGCUCACAAAUGCUGACAGUUCCACAAAUUUCACUGUUAUAUGAAACAUUUCAUCACUCUUAGCCCCUCUUUAUUAUCUUAACCUUAUUUAUAUUAAAGCUACCUUCCAGAAGUUUCCUUGAAAGAAAUGGGAAAAAUAUCAAGGAAUUAUAUUCUGUGCAACCUUAUUUUAACAGGUAUCAACAUUCAAAGUAUGACAAUAGUUAAAGGAUGUUUCUGUCCUUACCAACUUCAGUUCUUUAUUCAGUGUAAUUAUUCCAGUGAUGAGACCACUCUAACAAAAUUAACUAAAUCAUCAUGAGCAUCAUCACUUGCUUAAUUUUUCUUCAGGCUAUUUAUCACUGUCUAACAUACUAUGUAGCUGAUUUGUUAUUUUGUUUAUCUGUCUUCCCCCACUAAAAUAUAAGCUCCUUGAAAACAAACACUUCUAAUCUGUUUGGAUUACCACUAAAUUCCCAGCAGCUAGAACAGUGUCAGCCACAUAGUAGACUCUCAAUAAAUAUUUGUUUGAAUAACUAAGUGACACAGUAAAUGAAUAUGCAUAUGAUAUAUAUUUAAAAUGACACAUUAGUUAUGAGGUUUUCCACAUUACCAUAAAAAUAUUUUGGUAUAAAUCAUAAUUUAUGUAACUUUGUUUUGCCUGUUAAAGGAAGUAAAGAUGAUGGCUUGAAAACAUAGUCAAAAAUAUGAAGAUUAAAAUUGCUGGUUUUUAAAAAAUAAAUAACUUAAUAAAGAGUAUUUUUAAUCAUUUUUUUACAUUUGAGUAACUAUAUUUAUUGCCUAUAUGUCAUCUCAUAAACGAAAUAGGGACUUUAACAUAAAUUUUUAAGCACAUGAUAUUCCUCAUAGCUCUACCCCUGUGACUUCUCAUUAUGGAAGCUAUUAAAAAGCAGCAUGAAAUCCAAACUGUAUUUUAUAAAUUGAUUAGGAAAAUAAUUAUUUAAAAUGUUCUUUUGUGAAUGACAGAGGUGGGGAAAACGUGAUUUACAGAAUGUUGGACUAAAUGUCUAUCCUCUUUUCUUCCACAAUUGAGAAGUGGUGAAAUUUUGUUUCAGUUUUAUGAUAGAAAAAUAAAUCUCAACUGAAUCAAUGCCCUGUCCCUUCUUAGUAGGAUGCUGGUGAUAAUACAUUAGUAUUUUAAAAAGUAUAUUAGCUACCACUAGUGAAGAUUUUACAGUGUCUCUAGAUCAUCAUUCCAAACAAACACAAAUCAACAUAUAUUUAUAUAAUCAAAGAAAGAUUCUUAGGGUAAAACUCUGAUACAAUUUUGUUAACUGGCUGUUGUCUCUUUUCCAUAAAAAUAGAUUUUUGUAAAUGUGUUUAUACUUUUAAAGUUCUGAGAGAAUAAAUUGAUCUAUUGAGUCAAUUCUUGUUUGAAUGUUUACUAAUUCUUGCUAGGAAAAAUAAGUGGAAGUUUAGAGCAUCUACCAUCUAUUUUAGAUUUCUGGUGAUAUAGGAAAUUUUAUGAUAGUAUAGAGAUUAACUCCUCCUCCCAAGGAACCUUUUUUUAUAUAAUGGAAUAAAAUCCAAGUUUUAAGUUGAACUAUAAAUCCAUAGUUUUAAGUUCAACUAUGUAGUGUUGUCUAUAUUCAUGGAGUUGUACCUGCCUAUGCGAAUGAAAGUUUAGUAGGAGAUAUUGGGGUCCAACAGUAUCUGCAUAAUUCAUAGCUCUCUAUUCAGUAACAACAUGGGGUAUUGUAUAAAGUAUAUGCUAAAUGAAUAUAUGUGUGAAUUAGUUUCUUCUUAGCAAACCAGAAGCCUAGGGCUCUGACUCAGACUGGAGUGAGAGAGGAAUAAAUAAUAGAGAUGGAGGUGGAACCCAUUUGUGGUUUCAGGGAAAGAACAAAAGGAAACGAGAAUCUCAAAUACAGUUGGAAAACUUUAAAUCCAGGGGGGUAAAUUGAGAGCCAGACUCACAACUCAAUGAGCGUUCUGCAAGAGAAACAAAUCCAGAUGAGCUAGAACCAAGCUCCCCAUGUGGGCAUCCAUGGGCUAUGUAUAUUCUCUACAAAACUUCUGUUUUGAACUGAGUGGUAUAUUUUUGUUGAUAAUCUCAAAUAAAUUAAUAUAAUCCCGCUGUGGAUUACUUAAAUGGUUGUAUGUUAUAUAUAAUAACUGAAAAUUUUAUAAUAUGUUAUAUUCUUUACAUUAUAUCAUUUGGAUAUACAUGUUCAUAUAUAUAUAUAUACACAGACACAUACAUACAUAUAGUAAACUGCUAGAUUUUAUUUCCAAAUUUAGCAUUUGCAUGUAUAAAUAUUUUGAUGCAUAUACAUUUUGUUGCCAUGCUGGUCUACUUUAAUUGUCUAAGACUAUACAGAAAAGAGGUAGACAACGUAUACAUAAUUCAGUUCCACUAAACACAGGCCAACUUAUUUUAAUCCACAAAGAAGAUAGUACAUUGCCAAAUAGGGAAAAAAAAAGAUGAGAAAAUGAUAUUCAUAUAGCACUUUUGGUAGGAUAGGCUUACUAAAGCCAAAAGGUCCAUAAUUUAGCAAUUAUUUACAUUUCAAGUUGCUAAAACAUUUCUUUUUAUUAUAUAUAUGCCUAAGAUAUACAUGAUGUUUUGAUACACAUAGUGAAAUGAUUAUUACACUCAAGCAAGUUAACCUAUCCAUCAUCUUACAUAGUUAUCUUGUGUGUGUAUGUGUGUGUGUGGCAAAAGUCUCUAAAAUCCACUCUCUUAGGAAAUUUCUAGUAUGUAGUACAAUAUUAUUAACUAUGGUCCUCAUACCAUACGUUAGAUUUUUAGGUUUAUUUAUCUUAUACAUCUGCAACUUUAUUCCCUUUGACCUCAAUCUCCCCAUUUCGAUCCUGCCAUCCUCUCCCUACUCCUAGUAACUACCCACCUUUCUAUUCUGUUUCUAUAUAUUUAAGGUUUUUGGCUUGUUUGUUUGUUUUAGAUUCUGUAUAUAAUCAUUCUUUACAUUAACUUAUUAGUUUUACUCGUAAUGUUAACCUAAUUUUUGUUGAUAUUACAGUAUUGUUAUAUUUAAAUUCUACCAUUUUAGUUAUUUUAGGUUUGUGAUAAUUUUAAGCAAAAGAAGAUUUUAACAUAGAUUGACAUUGAAGGAUAGUUAUGAAUAUAGAAACAACUAAAGUGUAUCCUGGGUUGUUGAAUAAGUUUUUAAACCUUUAUGUAGAUCCCCAGACAUUCUCAAGUUUCUGUUCAAUAAAUGGAGUCAUAAGAAACUCCCUUGAUCACCUAUUAAUGAGAGAGAGCUGGUUUGGACACUAUAUCUCACCAUAAACUUAUGUUCAUGGUCUUUAUUGGAUAAAUGGAUAGAAAUGAUUAUUUCCUCUUAGAAUGUUUUAGGUUUACAUUAAUUAAUGAGGGGAAAAUCAGCAUGUUAGUAAUUCUUUCAAUUAAAUACUCCAUUUUUUACUACCUGGUUCCAUAAGUAUAGUAUGUACUAGCUACUAGUGGAAACAUAAAAAUAGAUAAGACACAAUCAGAAUUUCAAAAAUAAUAUAUUCUUUGUUCAUAAGGAUAAAAUUUGUAAUGAUGAUGAUGGUGAUGAUGGUGAUUUCCAUCAUUUACGGAGGAUUUACCACAUGCCAGUACUUAUGGUCAGCACUUACAUAUGUUAUCUAAGUUUUAUCCUCACAGUACCCUUAUGAGAUACCUUAAUUAUUUUCCCUAUAUGACAGAUAAGUAAACCAAGUCUUAGAGAGCUGAGGGGAUUGAGCCAAAUCACACAAUUCUUGCAAAGUGGAAUGAGAUGGGAUUCAGUUCAAUUCCUAUGCAAUAUACUUCUCCCAUCAAAAGUUAUGUUAAAGCAUUUCAAUGUUUAAGAUUCAUUACUAAGUAACAUAGCCCAAAUAAAUAAUUGUGAUUUUUUUGUUUUCUUCAUUUUGUUUAUCAAAAAAUAAGUUUAUCUUUGUUCAUCAUUUUUUACUUGCUCAAUAAUAGACAUAUAAUUUGUCAUUCCCUGGUUAAUUUAAAUUUAAAAUUUGUAUGAAUUAUAAAUAAGAUAUGUUUCUUCCCUAUGAAUCCAAAUAUCUGCAGUCAUACUUAGUCAAAAACUUGGUUAUGGCAAACAGAAAGUUUUUUAUCGCACUUUUAAAUUUUUUUAAAUUUUACUUUAAGUUCUGGGAUACAUGUGCUGAAUGGGGCAGGUUAGUUACAUAGGUAUACAUGUGCCAUGGUGGUUUGCUGCACCUAUCAACCCAUCAUCUAGGUUUUAAGCCCUGCAUGCGUUAGGUAUUUGUCCAAAAGCUCUCCUUCCCCUUUGCCUCCACUGCCCAACAGGCCCUGGUAUGUGAUGUUCCCCUCCCUGUGUCCAUGUGCUCUCAUUGUUCAACUCCCACUAAUGAGUGAGAACAUGCAGUGUUUGGUUUUCUGUUCCUGUGUUAGUUUGUCAAGGAUGAUGAUUUCCAGCUUCUUCCACGUCCCUGCAAAGGACAUGAACUCAUUCUUCCUUAUGGCUGCACAGAUUCCUUGGUGUACAUGUGCCACACUUUCUUUAUCCAGUCUAUCAUUGAUGGGAAUUUGGGUUGGUUCCAAGUCUUUGCCAUAAACGUGUGCAAUAAACAUAUGUGUCCAUGUGUCUUUAUAGCAGAAUGAUUUAUAAUCCUCUGGGUAUAUACCCAGUAAGGGGAGUGCUGGGUCAAAUAGUAUUUCUGGUUCUAGAUCCUGGAGAAAUUGCCACACUGUCUUCCACAAUGGUUGAACUAAUUUAUACUCCCACCAACAGUGUGAAAGAGUCCCUAUUUCUCCGCAGCCUCGCCAGCAUCUGUUGUUUCCAGACUUUUGAAUGAUCACCAUUCUAACUGGUGUGAGAUGGUGUCUCAUUGUGGCUUUGAUUUGCAUUUCUCUAAUGACCAGUGAUGAUAGCUUUUUUUCAUGUUUGUUGCCCACAUAAAUGUCUUCUUUUGAGAAGUGUCUGUUCAUAUCCCUUGCCCACUUUUUGAUGUGGUUGCUUGUUUUUUUCUUGUAAAUUUGUUUAAGUUUCUUGCAGAUUCUGGAUAUUAGCCCUUUGUCAGAUGGAUAGAUUGCGAAAAGUUUUCUCCCAUUCUGUAGGUUGCCUGUACACUCUGAUGAUAGUUUCUUUUGCAGAGAAGAAGCUCUUUAGUUUAAUUAGAUCCUAUUCGUCAAUUUUGGCUUUUGUUGCAAUUGCUUUUGGUGUUUUAUUCAUGCAAUCUUUGCCCGUGCGUGUGUCCUGAAUGAUAUUGCCUAGGUUUUCUUCUAUGGUUUUUAUAAUUUUAGGUUUUACAUUUAAGUCUUUAAUCCAUCUUGAGUUGAUUUUUGUAUAAGGUGUAAGGAAGGGGUCCAGUUUCAAUUUUCUGCAUAUGUCUAGCCAGUUUUCCCAGCACCCUUUACUGAAUAGGAGAUCUUUUCCACAUUGCUUGUUUUUGUCAGGUUUGUUGAAGAUCAGAUGGUUGUAGGUGUGUGGUGUUAUUUCUGAGGCCUCUGUUCUGUCCCAUUGGUCUAUGUAUCUGUUUUGGUACCAGUAUCAUGCCGUUUUGGUUACUGUAGCCUUGUAGUAUAGUUUGAAGUCAGGUAGCACGAUGCCUCACACUUUGUUCUUUUUGCUUAGGAUUGUCUUGGAUAUGUAGGCUCUUUUUAAUUCCGUAUGAAAUUUAAAGUAGUUUUUUUGUUUUUUUUUUUAGUUCUAUGAUGAAGAAAGUUGAUUUUACAAAAAUUCUUUAAGUGUUUAUUAUCUUCUUCUAAGAAUAAAAACCGUACUUUUCUUCAAAUCUAGACCUACUAAUAGUUUUGGGAUUUGUUAUUUGAAUGUUAUGAAUAAUUUUGGCCUUAUAUUUACUUUUUCUCUAGACCAUUUUAUGUAAAAAUACGUUUUUCAUGACCAAGCCUGUGUUAAUGACUUCAAACUUGUUUCCUUACCAGAGUGAUUCUUUUGCUAAUCCAGAACUGCUCCCCCAGAACUGUCAUAAGACACCUCUUGCUACUGCCAUGUUUGUGCUAUAAGUAGUUAGUUCCCAGGCACAGGGCUAAUUAUUUUCAUCUAACAUUAAUAUAUUUAGGAUGGUAAAAGUGACAAAUACCAACAUCAUAAAAUUUAGGAACGCUAUUAUCCCUAAACUAUCCACCAAUCACUAUGUGUACACUGUAGAGUCUAGCAUUAAGAAUAUAUAUUUAAAACAAUACAUUUAUCAGAUAAAAUAGCAUGCGCUUAUUGUUAUAUUACAUUGUUUCUGCUCUUUUUCUUCAAACGUUGUAAUAAGGAUGUAAUAAGGAUGUUUGACACAAUGUGAAAAAUAAAAGUUAAUAAAAUUUGAUAGCCUCACUGUCACUUAUGUUUUCUAAACUGUCCAAAAUAUUUAAACCUUUUGAAUGAAUGAUGUUGAGUUUGUUUUUUUAUCCAAUGGCGCUUACAAACUGUGUGACCUUGGGAAAAUAUUUAAUUUCUGUGAAUCUUAGUCUACAUAUAUUUUUAAAAAUAGGAAUAAUUGUAGAUUACUGUCAGACUUGUUGGGAGAAAUAAAUCGUACCAAUAUGUAUAUUGCCUAGCACAGUACCAAACUCAUCGAGAGCACCAUUAAUGUUAGUUCCUUCUAUCUAAUAAUCCAUGGAAAAUCAUUCUAAACUCUUUACUUUUAACUCUUAAACUUAGAUGCCUUUGGAAAGAUAACUUUUUGGUAAGUAUCAUCUAGAAAUGUAUUCACUUCUCAUUGUUCUUUAGCAGGUGAAAUGUGUGUGAACUGUUUUAAAGUUUUAUGUGACAUCUACAAUGUUGUAGGUGCUUUCUUCCCUCUUUAUUGUAUACCCAUGUAUCCUUGGUAAACUAUGAUUUAUUUAAGCACCAUCCAUGCUAGCUGAUUAUGGAAAUAUAUGAAGAUUUAAAAUUUAGAAAUUUCAGGCUGAUCACUUUGUCUUGGUGUUUAGGUUACAAAUUGGUUCAUGUAAGGAUUUUCUUAAUUUCUCCCAGAACCAUCUCCAGAUAAUGCCAUCAAGCAACAUGGUGAAUAAAACCUAUUACUUUUGUUUUUUAGAUUCUAAAACAUAUUCUGAGAAAAAUAUUUGCAAUUCUAUGGUGUGUAGCAAUCCAAUGACAAAAUUCUCUAACCACCAUAGACUUAAAAAUGAUGAAAGUUUUGGAAGUGAUUUUUUAACUAUUUCACAAAACAUAUCAUAAGAGAGAGAAAAAUGUGAUAAAUUAUAUCAGGCAGAUAACUUACUGUCUUUUUCAGGCCGUAAAUUAUAGUUUUAAGUACGUAUGUACCAUAAUGAAUUUAUGUUAAAAAUAAUCAGAGAUGGGAGGGGCUUGUAGUAUAAUCAUCUGAUGGGUUCUUCCUGCCUGCUGCAUAGACAAAACCAUUCACUGAGACUGCAUCAUUGAAGUAAAGAGUUUAAUUGAUACAAGGCUGGCCACAUAGCAGAUGGAGUUACUACUCAAAUCAGUCUUCCUGAAGGCUCAAAAGUUCAGGUUUUUCAAGGAUAGUUUGGUGGGUAGAAAACUAGGAAAUGGGUGUUGCAGAUUGGCUGGGGAUGCAAUCAUAGGGGUGUGGAAAAGGGUCCAUUUGGACUAAGUCUACCUCUUGCUGGGGGGCCACAAGACUAGUUGAGUCUUGAGUCCUGAUGGGGUCAGCCUGAAAAAUAUCUCAAAAGACCACUUUUAGGUACUAUAAUAGUGAUGUUACCUGUAGGAGCAAUUGGGGAACUCACGAAUCUUGUGACCUCUGGCCACAUUACUGAGUAGAAAGGGAUUAUAGAAACUAGGCCUAUAUUUUAGCAGACCUUCAGGACCCUCCCAUAAUCCUAAUCUUGUGGACUUUCAUUAGUUUUACAAAGCAGUUUCAGUUCCAGAACAAAGAGGAAAUCAGUUUUAGGGAGGGACUAUUAUCAUUCUGUCUUCAGAGCUAAACAAUAAACUAAAUUUCUCCCAUGGUUAGCUAGCCCUACACCUAGGUAUAAGCAAGGGAGAGUAGUCAGCCUGUGAGACUAGAAGCAAGAUGGAAUCAGUCAUGUUAGAUUUCUCUUAGUGUCAUAAUGUUUGCAAAGGCUGUUUCAGUAGUGACUAUCAGAACUUCCUGCAGUCAAGUAACCACUUAAACCACCUAAAUCAAAUGACUGUUCAUGUACAUUGGAUGAGUGAGAAAAAAAUAAGUUUCUUUUAAUUUUUCUGGGAAUAAAACAUACUUCUCUGGCUAUUUGGUUGUCAGAAACAUGCUACUCUAUACUACUCUACACCAUUCAAAUUAAGAAUACCAAGUUUAGAUUCCCUGUCAUUGAAACUCUCCUAUGCUAACUCCCCAAACAUUUAUAUGCUGGAUGUUUAGCUAUGAAGAAUUUUAUUCUGAAAAAUUCCCAGUUUUGUAUAUCAUUGGAGGUAACAUUGUUUCUUCAAUACUAUAACUGUUUAGUGUCUUUUCAAAAUCGUCAUUGUAUGGUAAACGCUAAAAGAGCACUUCCUGUUCUUUAGUUACAAUUUUACAUUGUAUGUAGUACACAUUUGGGGCAGCUUUCAGUAGCUAUUAUUUAAUUUCAAACUCAGUAUAACUCAGUAUAAAUAAAUGUUAGCUAGAUAGAUGGUUCUAGUUUUAUUCCUAUUUCAUUUUCAAGGUAGGAAAAUUAACAUUGGCUUGGAGUAUUGUAGAAGUAAUUUUUCCAAUUACAUAGAAAUUGCAGUUUUCCUUCUCUUACUACAGUCACUCAAAUUUUAUACAAAAUUGGGGCCUAGCCUGGGAGGGUUCUUGGCUUCACCAAGAGAUAAUUCAAGGGUGAUCUGGUGAUCAGAGAAGCAAUUGUUUUUUAACUGGUACUGCUUCUUGUGGAGCAGGACUAACUCAUAGGCACUGUGCCAGGGCUGUUGGCAUGUGUAUUUAUACCCACUUCUAAUUAUAUGCUAAUUAAGAGGCAGAUUAUUUUGAACUUCCUGGAAAAUGGUGGGGAGUUUCCAGAAUCAUAUAAGGUAACUUCCAGGCUGUUGCCAUGGCCCAUUGCCAUGGCAUUAGUAAACUGUCAUGAGGCUGGUGGGAGUGUCAUUAUGCUAAUGAGCUGUGAGGACACUGGAGGUUGCUUUGCUCACAGUCUCCUGGGGUUGCUGGCCUCUUCACUGCAUGCUGUUUUGACCAGAUCCUGCUUUUAUCAAGGUGUUGGUGACCAGAAAAAGACUCCUACGGGCCUCCUACCUCAUCCUCAUGCAAAAUUUCCUUGUGUCACUCUGGCUGGAAUGCAGUGGUGUGAUCUCGGCUUGAACCUUGGCCUCCCAGGUUUAAGCAAUUCUCCUGCCUCAGCCUCCUGAGUAGCUGGAAGUACAGGUGCCUGCCAUCACGCCUGACAGAUUUUCAUAUUUUUAGCAGAGACAGAGUUUGACCAUGUUGCCUAGGCUGGUCUCAAACUCCUGACCUCGUGUGAUUCUCUUGCCUUAGCCUCCCAAAGUGCUGGGAUUACAGGCAUGAGCCACUGCACCCGGCCUCUAGCUAAUUUUAUAAAUUAAAAUUUCAGUGACAUUGUGUCCAUGAAACACCAAAACUCAAUUAUAUUAUUUCAAAACAUGUUAUAAUGCCUUAUGGAACAGCAGCAACAAUAGGGGUCAAAGCAUUUUGACUAUUAACAUGGCUCUUUUGUUUUGACUUUUUAGGUUACACCUGAACACAACAAUUUGUAUAUUAACCCAUAUGCCAUAUUUAAAUAUCUGAAUGCAAAAGGGUUCUACAAUAAGGAGGAGUACUUUAGGCUCCUUGUAGAAAAUUUUGAAAAAUGUAUUUUAUGACUUUUUUUCACUAUAAACAGCAAUCAUACUCCAAUAAAGCAAAGUCAUGUCACUAAAGUGCUCAGCUAUCAAACAACUUUUCAGAAUCACCAGAACUGAAAGUAACACCUUUCCAUGUGUAUCUAUUGACUUGUCUGUCUUUCCCACUGGAAUGUAAUACACUUUUUUCAAACCGUCUUUAUACUCCCAUAGCCUAUUAAAUGACUGGCACCUAGAAAGCAACAAAUUGUUUGUGAAAUCAAUUAAUAAAGUAAAUAAUUAUUUAAUCAAUUAAACUACCACUGUGUUUACCAACAAUCCUCAAACUUUAAUGUGCAUAAAAGUUAUGUGCAGAACUUAAUUUUAAAGUGCAGAUAACUAACUCCUGCACACAUAGAUUCUAAUUCAGUAGGCUAUGCAGUCUGUGACUGUGCAUCUAACAAAGACAUCAGUGUUUCUGAUUUGGAGCAAAGAUCACUCUUUAAAAAUAUUGAUAUAAAUAACACUAAUGUGAUCAAGAAACCUUGAUUCAGAUAACCUUUAGCAAAUCUUUGGGCAAUUAAGUGUUAAUUGAUUGUGAAUAAAUAGGGUCAAGUUAAAUGAGCACUGCAUGUACUAUUAAAAAAAAAAAAAAGAGAAGAAGAAGAAGACCUAAAGUGACCAUGGGGCACUCUGGUAAAACUCGUGGCUCUAACUUCUCUGAUUCUGUGCCUCUUAGAUUUGUGAGGUCAGCAUGAGUAGAAGGUAAAAGAAAAAUUUGGUAAUAUGGACAGAUUACAGGACAGCCUGUGGAUCCAAUGUUCCAAUUGGACUGCAUUUGGUGUCACUAUCCCAUGGUUCAAACCAAGAGAAAAGCAGGGAGCAAAAAAUCUAGGACAGAUAGCAGGGUAGCAUCUCAAGAUACAGACUGUGCAGCUGUACUGACAUCAAAAAACGGCCUGAGUGUGACAUCUAAUCUCAAGACAAACCUGUCUUUUUACAGUUCCUAUUUUAAGCUGCCUUUUUCACGUUAGUAAAUGGCAACUAGGGAAGUAUGUGCUGUUCCUAGAGUUAGAUAUGCUUUUGAGGUACUGGCCAUUGUGGAAAGUUAGAUCUAAAACAUUUAUACUUUCUAAUUCACCAUAAAACCUUUUAAAAAUACCGUACUAAUUUAUGAACUCUGAGCCAGUUCUACUAAAUCAGUAUUUCUAGGGAACACACAGUGGGAAUCCAUAUAUGUGAGCUAUUUAGGUGAUUCUGAUGAUUGACCAGGUAUGGGAGCUGUGGAUUUCAAAAGCUUUGAUAGAUAUUUCGUUAUUAGAAAUGUUACUGUAUUUAUAAGGGGUCAGUCCUUUUCCCUCCAUCUUUAGCCACACAUUUCUGCCUCUGACACAACUCCUCUCCUCAUCUGUUGUCUUAGUAGCCUUCUGUCCAAAAUUAUCUUGUUGUAGACUUGCUUUGUUAGGUAUUCUAUCCCUUUUCUGUAGUAGCACUGUCCUCUAUUCAGUUUUCCAUCAAUUUUGAGUCUAAGACUUAUUUUUCUAUCCUUUCUUUUUCUCUGAAUAACUUUUAUCCUAAAGCACACUGAAAUUGCAUGUCAUACUGUUAUACAUACCCCACCACUCUUUUUAAGUAUAUCCACAUUGGUAUACAUCAGCUGGGCUUAAUUUCUGAAAACAAAAUUAGGGCCCAAUGGCUCAAUGUUUCUGAAUAAGUAACCAAAAUUGUUAUUGUUAUAAGAAUGUAAGAAAAGGGUGACAAAAUGGUGAAUUGCUGUAACAAAUGGAAAAUGAGUUCAGAAUGAAGCAGAAUGCCUAAGACAUUUCACAUCUUGACUUGUUUUAACAAGAUUCUACUGCUUUGUAAUUCAUUUAUAGAAUAGUUAUAGCUUCCCAUUGGCUCCGUGCUCUCAUUUACUCAGCUACUGUAAAUAAUAGCCAUCAGCAAAGCUUUUGAAAUCUUCAGAUGAAAGGAACUUAAAUUAAGGAAGCUUCCCGUGUGCAUCCCUUCCCCGACAAAAAAAGAUGUUAAGAAAACAAAGAACGGGGAGCGUAACGGAAUGAUUGUAGUAACUGAAUGCAUUCCAGCUUUUGAAAACGAUAAACAUUUAUUUUCCGACCUAAGAGUUGUUGUUUUUAAUUUUUUUAACUUUUUUUUUUCUCAGUUGAAGCAGGCGAUAGUGGAUAUUAUCUUAAGAUUUGAAAGAUAUUGAAGGAGGCAGUAUCAAGUCAGUUACACUAUGUGGAUUAAUGUUGCAGUAGUUUCUUUCUUUGGUCAUUGCCAAGCUAGUUGCUAUUUUAAGAGUAUUAGUUAUAUGCUUCUGUACCUGAGAGUGAAAUUUUUCAUUUCCCUCCAAAGAUGAUUCAUUUUGUUUCCUACAGGAAGAACUUUGAUAAUAAAUUCCAGUGUAUUUCUUAAAAUGUUCCCAGGGACUUAAAAUGAACCUGCAAAUAUUUAAUUUUAUAUUAUCUUUUUGACAUAGUUUUCUUACAUAAUCUACAUAUUUUGAAUAGAUGAUUAGACCAAAGGAGCUUGCAGUAGAUAAGGUUAUAAUCUUAAUGAAGAUUAAACAUCUUCUUUUAAAAUCUCUUUAUAUUAUUACUGUUGAGUGACAGAACAGAUAUUCAAUCCUUUAAGCCAAGAAUGUAUAAUGGGACCAGUAUGUAAUAAGUAAACUUGGGAAGCAUAACUGGAAAUACAGAAGAUACUGAACUUACAUAACAAUAUGUUUGAACUUUAAAUGUUUUCGCUUUCCACAGUCUAGCUUUCUCUCCUGCAUUGUCCAUAUGGAAAGAUGACUUAGCCAAAGCUCCCAAGCUCCCAAGAGUUGACAAAUUCUCCCUUCCAGGGAUUAACCCAAACCAAAUUAUAAUAUCUUAAUCCCAAUUCCAAAUUCCUAAAAGAGAGAAUUUGUGACUGUGGAGGAUACUCUUCUCCCUCUGCCAGCUAAGAAGAUGUCCGAAGAGAUGGCAGCUACAGAUUGGCCCAGAAAUUUAGUCAAAUCACCUUAUUAUUCAUGGUUUUUUUUUUUUGUUUUUUUUUUUUUUGAGACAGAGUCUCCCUGGAUCACCCAGGCUGGGGUAAAGUGGUGCGAUCUCGGCCCACUGCAACCUCUGCCUCCCGUGUUCAAGCAAUUCUUCUGCCUCAGCCUCGUGGUAGCCGGAAUUACAGGCGAUGGCAACCAGGCCCGGCUCAUUGUUUUUUUUUUUUUUUUUUUGUAUUUUUUGUAUUUUUAAGACAGGCAGGGUUUCAUCGUGUGGUCAGGCUGGUCUCAAACUUCUGACCUCAAAUGAUCCACCUGCUUAGGCCUCCCAAAGUGCUGGGAUUACAGGCGUGAGCCACCAUGCCCAGUGAUUUUUUUUAGUGUAAGACUUAUAAUUGAAAACAAUUUCACAUUCAAAAUUUUAAUUUAAUUAAAACAACAUGAAAUACAAGUAAAUAAUUUUGGAGAAGAAAAUACAGUUAUAUAAUUAUAUAACAACACAUAUGUCUAAUUUUAUUGAUCAGAGUGACAUUUUAAAAAGCUUUUUCCAGAUAUAAACAAUGACUGUUUUCUGUUUAGUGAAAUAGAAAUUUAAUUCUUCUUCUGCCUAUAAACAAAUAAAUUAAAAUAUCAAGAUUUUUUUUUUAAAGAAUCUCAAGGUAUUUUUGCACAUCGAGACUAAAGUGAAGAAAAUAAAUCAUUUUCAGGAUUUUUGUUGUGAAAAUACAGACAUGAUUUUUUUUUUUCCGUAAAGCAUAUUCAUUAAAACUAUGCUUGGAAAUUAACAUUUCAGCAGAAACCAUACAUAAAAUUUCAGUUUAUUAAGACAAAAAAACUGGAGAGUUUGGGCUUUUUUGUUUUCCUAAUAAUGACAUUCUGUUUUGUUUUCUGACAAGUUUACUGACAGAGCUUUAGAGGUAACUUAACAGUAUCUGUACUUACCUGUCAACCAGGAAUGAGUCACUCCUGAAUUUACUAAAAAUGACAUUAUCAUCAUGGUUUAGUAAUGAACCUUGGGGAAGAUUUUAUGAUACUGUGUGACACCAGACCCUCUCAUUAGUGCCAUAGGUUUCAUUAGUACAUGUCAUUUUUUCCAACCUUUGCAGCAUUACUGGUUGAAUACAACAUAUUCUGAAUAUCUCUACAUUUGUGACAUCUCUUAAUGUCACAUUUCUUUAUUUUUACAAAAGCUGUUUAUAGCUUGUUGGAUUAUCUAAACAUGUUUAAAAGAUAAGGAAAUACUGUAAAGCAAGGAAAAUGAGAAAAAUUCAUAGAUUUUGAGGGAAAAAAGAAAAAAACUACACAGAUACAUUAGGCCAGGGAAGUGCUUGUUUCCUGUUAGUCCUGAUACCCGUUGGAAGGCAAACUUCUAUCAGGGCAUGAGCCUGUGAUUCAGGCUAGGGUUCUAAAUCCAGCUUUGCCAGUAAUAACCUGUGUUACUCUUAACCUUUCUUAGAUUCAUUUUUGAUGUGUGUGAUACAGGAUGAAAAUUCUAGGAUUUUCUUUUAUUAGCAUUGAUUUUUUUGGGGGACCUUUGUGAAUUUUUUUUCUCUUUUGUAGCUCCUCCUCCUUCCUUCCCUUUCUUCUCUUUCACAAAUAUUGAUGGAGCAAAUAACAAAUGCUGUGUAUCAUAAUGGGCAUUGCAGAUAAAAUCAGGUACCUCAUUUUAUAUAUGUAAAGAUAGAUAAUAUAAUUACCAUACACAAGUAGAUUCAGUCACUCCAAAGUCACAUUUGACUCUAUAGAAAAUCCCUUUGGGAAUGAAUUUAACAAAGUCUGGAUGCUGUUGUUUAUUUGCAGUUAACAAGAUAAUGAAGAAAAAUUGUCAGAUUUGUGAUUUAACUACUUCCAUUUAUAUUUUAUCAAUUAUCUUAAGGAAGCAAAAGAUCUACAUUUUUUUCAAAGGGGCCAGAAUUAAAAAUGUCUAGUACAGGUUUAGUCUUUUAAAAGCCAAUGCAAGUAAUAAAGUCUGUGUUAAAUUAAGUCCAGUCCAUCAUUCGUCAUUUUCAAUUUUAAAGCUAACAUUUACCAUGUGCUAGUUCAAGCCAACUUUACAAAGCCUGUCACUGCUGAUAUCUAAUGUGGUGAAUCCCACUUGAGUUUCUAAUGUCUUCUCCUGACAUUUCUUCAGGAGUGACUGAUAGUGCCACAGGUCCAGGUGGACUGAAUAGUGGGGAUUGAUACUGAUACGACUGAAGUUUAGAAACAAGAAAGAGUUAUGGAAAACACAUCUUAGUGAAAGAUCAUGUCUUAUUCUGAUGACUUGUUUAAAAUACAAUAAUUUUUCCGUGAUGUUAGAGAAAUAACACAUUUCCAUGUAUAUUUCCAUAAAUGUUUCAAGUAAAAAUGGGUAAAUAAGCACUAAAAGAUAUCAUUCACAUGCACACAGUUAUAAGGUUAUAUCUGCAAAAUUUAUAACUAUAGAUGUCACAUCAAAAUCAAAAUUAAGAGAACAGAUAUUUUUAAAAACCUUGUUUGUCAGGUGGUUACUGAACUACUUGUCAUCAUAGGACUAAUUUGUCUUUUUAAAGGCAAAAUCAUGACAGAUAUUAAGUGUAGAAUGAAGGUAGGAGUAUUCAAUACAUUUUGUGGUAUUGGUUUAGACAUCAGGAAAGCUCCUGGGAAAAUUCCAUAUGCUAGUGAAACUAUAAAUUGCAUUGAGUAUUUAUUGGUUUCUGCCAUGGUAUAGUAGGUAUUGGUUAGUGAUUUUUUAAAAAAGGAAAAUUAAUUUGUAGCUUUCAUUUCUCAGUUAUGUGUUUUCAGGAAGGUACAUUUGUCUUAUAAAGGUGGUAUAAAGGAACUACUUUAGAAUUCAAUUCUCAUCACAAAUAUUUUAAUGUAAUAUAUAUAUUUUUUCCCAGGGCAACCAGAGAGGCAUAUGAUAUCUGGUGAAUAAGUAUGGCCCACCAAUAGUUAAAUAUAAUGGACACAAUUUACUUUUACUUCUUGAAAAAAACUUUCCCCAUCAAAAGGAUCAUUAUUUCAAAUAAAAUUCAAAGUGGUGUAUUUAAAAUACACACUUUUUUCUUCUAGUAAUCUCAAAAUCAACCUAGUUUGUACAACAUAAAAGAUGUAAACUCUCAAUCAUAUGAAAUUUUCUUUCACUGCAUUAAUAUUCAAUGAAGCUUGUGAUUUUAGUGAAUCUCUUCUGCUGGUUUGGAAGGAACGACAAAAUAUCAGGCUUUUAUGGUGUGCUUCCAAUAGUUACUGCCCUGGGUAGACAUGGGGAGAAUUCAGGUCAUAGAAUUUAAUGACUUUUUUUCAAAAGCAAAACACAUGCACACUAAUAAUUUAAAUAACCUUUCUUGUCAACAAUAGAAAUAUGUGACACAGCAGUAGCUGAUUAAUAGCAAAGUUAGUGAUGUAGGCAAUAAUUGCUAAAGGAGUUCGUAAGAAAAGAUUGCUUCACUGGAGAGGUGAGAUGCACAUUAAUGCAAAGUUAGGAAUUGAGCUGACAAAUGAAGAAUGGAAACAGGGCCAGAGAGUCAUUCUAGGAUUAAGAAGUGCGAGAAAUGCCCACAGCCAAGGCAGAGGCAUAAGAAAGUAAAAUGAUCUUUUUUAAGAUAAGAAUGAGCAUGGCUAUAUGAAGGGUAUCUGUAUAGAGUAGAAAAACUAGAAAAUUAGCUUAGAGUCAGGAUAUGAUGACUUUUGAAUGCCUGGCUAUGUGAUUUUGUCUUUAUCUCUGAAAUCAGAAUUUCACAGAGCACAGUCUUCAAAACAGUAGUUUCAUAAGAUGUGAUAGCUAUUCCUCGGGAAUGCAGUAAGGGCAUGAGUGAGAUUUUGAAGUUCAAAUAUAUUUGGGAAAUUCUCAAUGAAAAAAAAAUUUCCUAUAAUACACCUUCAUGGGGCUGUGGUUGUAUUAAUGUGCAUUGUGAAAGUCCAAGAGGAAGACAGAGACCAGAUGAACCCCCAAACACAUUUGAAUGUGAAAUAUUUUUCCUGUGAAUCAUCCCACACCAUAGAUGUGUACAUAGAACAAAACUUAGGAAAUACUGUUUUUUUUUGUCGUUGUUGAGCAGGAAGGUGAAGAAGUUUUAUUAGCUCUAUUGUGUGCCAACAGUUUUAUUAGAGAGUAAGAACGUAGAGAUACAUAAGAAGUAGACAUUAUCUUGAAAGAGCUCAUAGUGUAGUUAUAAACAAACCCCCCAAAAGUGUGACAACACUUGAUGCAUGCAAUAAUAAGACUCCAAAGGGAGAGGCAGGCAUACUGUAGUGUUUAGGCACAUGGACUUUGGAUCCAGACCACUGAUGCUUGAAUUUUGGUUCCAUCACUAACCAGCUAUGUGCUAUUGGCUAAUGUACUCCCCUUCCUGUGCCUCAGUUUUUUCACCUGUAAAAUGGACAAACUAAGACCAACUCCAGAUGGUUACCAUAAAGUUUAUAACGCAUAUAAAGCAUGUUAACGGUGUCUGGUAUGUAAUAACUUCUAUGUAAAUAUUCAGUUAUUAUGUAGUAUAAAAACCUUAUAAUAUAAAAAUAUAAUAUAAUAUAAAAACCUUAUAAAAUUAUAAUCAUAUUAUAAAAACAUAAACAUAUAAAAACAUAAAUGCCUUCAUGUCUUCCAGAAAUAUGAAAUAAUUCUACAUUUCUCAAGCAUACUAUAUGAAGAGUUAAGAGAUGAAAGAUGAGGCUGGAGAGAUGUAGAUGUUUUACUGAAAAGUUUGCACUUUAUUGUGUAGGUGAAGAUGAGUCAAGGAAUGAUUCUAGGAAGAAAAUCAUGAUCAGAUUUAUAAUUUCAAAAAGUUAUUCUGGCGACAAGCCAAGAGGCUCUUGCUCUUGCAACACAUGUUUAAGAAAUGGGGGCCUGCACCAAGGCUGAGUCAGGUAAAAUGGAGAGAAAAUGUCUAGUCCAGAAAUAUUUAGGGAAUAUAAUUUUAAACCCAUGAUGAUCGAAGGGAUGUGAAGGAGAAGGAAGAAUUGAGAAUACAUGUUGAGUUUGUAGCUCGAAAUACUAAAUGGAAAAUAUCAUCACUGAUCAAUUUUGGAGAACAAAAGAGGAGCAGAAUGGGAUGUGGGUUAGGAACAGUGCGGGAAGACAAACAGUAAGAUUAAAUUGUUGUCCUUUCAAUUUUGAGGUCCUAAUGGUACAUACAGGGGAAUCUAACUAAGAGAUAAUUCAGACAUAUAUCUCGAGCCAUGGAGCAAGAUCUUAUUAUAGCUAGAGGUAAAGAUUGGUAAGUCACUACUAUACCACAACAUAUAACAUGUAAAGACAGGGGAAAUGAUGAGAAUGCCUACACAGACCAUAUACUCAAGACAGAAGGAUCACCAAGGGUAUGAUCUGAGAAAAAGAAAUAUACAACAAAAAGUUUAAGACUCAAAUUAUGCAAAUGGUGUUUUAGAAGUUGUCGUAUGCUCUAUUAAUGUUCAAUUCAAAAUGGGACUUCCAUUGUUCCCUCAGGAGUCAUUGUGAUCAACACUCCCCUGCCCCCCAACAGACACACACACGUGCACACACACACACACACACAGAAUCCAAUGUUCUUACUUAUUGAGGGACAGAAUCAGAGACAGGGUACUCUUUUUCCCUCCUUCUUGACGUUAUUAUAUAGAUUUGUUUCUUCAAAUAAUUCCAUAGUAUGUAUUUGAAGACCACUAUCUACCAAACACGGUGACUUGAUUAUGCAAUAUGUGGAUUAUUUAAAUUACAUUAUAUGAGCGCAAAAAUACCAUAAGGGAAAAAAGUAUUAGAAAAAAAGAGACAAUGAUAUGUCAAGUAUUACUCUGUACAUGUUUCUUAAGAGGGAGGGAGGCUGGGAGGUCACGAUAAGAGCAAAUGCACAUGCUGCUCUUUCUAUGUAAGUCUCAGGGUCAUUGCUACGUAUUUUAAUAAGACCAAGGAAACAUAUGCGAUUUAUUCCAAUUUGGAAAACAGAAUGCUGCUGAGAAAUGAUGUGGCAUAGUAGAACAAGGCGUUCGUGUCAGAGAGAUCUUGGUUGGUUUUAUAGCAUCGUCCCUUUCUUGGUAAAGAACUUUGGAAAAGAUAUUUAACCACUGUGUGCCCCUAUUCCUUCAUAUGAAAAAAAGUUACAAUGUAAUAUUCACCUCAGAUUGUUUAUCAGUUCACUAGCUGAUGAUCAUUUGGCUAUAAUGUUAUAUACUAUGGUUCUGUGAACACUGAUAAACAUUUUUGUAGACAUAUUCAUAUUUUUCUUCAUAAAAUAUCUGAGAUUGCUAGAUAAUAUACAAUAAUAUAUACAAUCAUAUACAAGCAUGUUUUCUGGCCAUGCUUUUUUUGGUCAAAAUGAUGUUUAAUCUUUUGACCAUUUAUUUGAUUGGGUUGUUUGCCUUAUAAUUAUUCAGUUGUAGGAGUUCUUCAUGUAUUCUAGAUACAAGUUCUUUAUCUAAUACAUGUUCUGCAAAUAUUUUCUCCAUCUGUGGCUUGCUUUUCAUCUUCUUAACAAAGUCUUCCUAAGACAAAAUUUAAAAAUUUUGAUCAACUACGGUUUAUCAUUUUUUGUUUCAAAAUCUUUGCUUUUUUUUUUUUUUUGAGACGGAGUCUUGCUCUGUCGCCCAGGCUGGAGCGCAGUGGCGCAAUCUCGGCUCACUGCAAGCUCUGCCUCCCGGGUUCACGCCAUUCUCCUGCCUCAGCCUCCCGAGUAGCUGGGACUACAGGCGCCCACCACUACGCCCGCUAAUUUUUUGUAUUUUUAGUAGAGACGGGGUUUCACUGUGGUCUCGAUCUCCUGACCUCGUGAUCCGCCCACCUCGGCCUCCCAAAGUGCUGGGAUUACAGGCGUGAGCCACUGUGCCCGGCCCAAAAUUUUUGCUUUUUAAUCUUAUUUUGGAAGUGUUUACCUGAUCCAAAGUCACAUAAAUCUAUGUUUUUCAUAAUUUUUUGAUCUUGGCUCUUAUGUUUAAGUUUAUACUUCAUUUAUAGUUAGUUUUAUGUGAUAUGAGAUAAAAAGUCAAGAUUUAUUAUUAUUCCUUUUUGCACAUGGAUAUUACAUCCAACUAUUGUAGUGACAGUUGUUGAAAAGAUCAUCUUUUUUUAUUGAGUAUACAUUUGCCAUUUGUUGAAAAUCAACUGACCAAAUGUAUAUUGGUCAAUUUUCAAACUCUGCAUUGUUUUCCAUCAGUCUAUAUGCCUGUCUUUAUGACAUCACACUAUUUUUACAAUGUAGUAUUAUGUUAUGUCUUUAAAUGAAAUAAUGUAAUUUCUCUAAUUAUGUUCUUAUUGUUUAAAAUUCUUUUUUGGCUAUUAUAGGUUCUUUGGUUCCAUGUAAAUUUUAGAAUCAGUUUGUCAAUUUCUAUAAAAAUAUGUUGAAAUUUUAAUUGAGAUUUAAUUAAAUAUGUAGAUCACCAAUAGUAGUAUCUUCAUAAUAGUGUGUCUUCUAAUCCAUGAAGAUGGUGUAUCUCUACAUUUAUUUAUGCUUCUUUAAUUCUUUUGUUUCAUUAUACUUUAAGUUCUAGGGUACAUAUGCACAACGUGCAGGUUUGUUACAUAUGUAUACAUGUGCCAUGUUGGUGUGCUGCACCCAUUAACUCGUCAUUUACAUUAGGUAUAUCUCCUAACAGGCCCUGGUGUGUGAUGUUCCCCAUCCUGUAUCCAAGUGUUCUCAUUGUUCAAUUCCCACAUAUGAGUGAGAACAUGUAGUGUCUGGUUUUCUGUCCUUGCAAUAGUUUGCUCAGAAUGAUGGUUUCCAGCUUCAUCCAUGUCCCUACAGAGGACAUGAACUCAUCCUUUUUUAUGGCUGCAUAGCAUUCCAUGGUGUAUAUGUGCCACAUUUUCUUAAUCCAGAUUGUCAAUGAUGGACAUUCAGGUUGGUUCCAAGUUAGGAAAAAAGGAAGUCAAAUUGUCCCUGUUUACAGGAGACAUGAUUGUAUAUUUAGAAAACCCUAUCGUCUCAGCCCAAAAUCUCCUUAAGCUUAUAAGCAACUUCAGCAAAGUCUCAGGAUACAAAAUCAAUGUGCAAAAGUCUUAUUUACAUUCUUACAUCAAUGUUCUGUCUUUUUCAAUGUAAAAAUCUUGAGCAUUUUAAUAAUUUAUCUCUAUACAUUUCAUGUUUUUAGAUGCUACCAUAAGUGGUGUUUUUUAAUUUAAAUUUUCAGUUGUCCACUAUCCUUAAAGAUCAUUUAUAUAGACUCUAUGAGGAAAUGUCAUUUUUUUUUCAUUUUUACUUUCUUUGAUACCUGGUCACUAGUUCAACCUAUUCUUUUGCCAUGACUUUUUUUCUAGAACUUUACUUCAGAUCCAGAUUUUGGUGGCCUGAAUACAUUUCAGUUCACAUUUAACAAUGAUACAAAAGUUUAAAAGAAGAAAUAUUUCCUUUAUAACUAUAGUUUUCUAUCAAGUUAGGAAAAUUAAUUGGAAAAUAGAUAAUGAGAGCCUGAUGUCAGGGGACUCAGAUCUACACUUUGAGUGACUAUGUGGGAGAAAUAUAAGGAAAUACAUAAUUUAAAAACUUUGUAAGAAGAGGAAGGAUAAGUACCAAUACACAGAAGGUAUAUGAAAAUACACUAGAAAGAACAUAACAACUAAUAUUUGUUUUUUACUCCAAAACUUUCACAGUACAUUCUUGAGCAUCAUGUAAUCUGUAAACUAUAUUACUUAUUACUUUACAGAUGAAGAAAUUGAGUAUUGGAAAUAUAGUACAGUUUUUAAUAUUAUGGAAAUAGUAAUCAGUGCCUAGGCCUUGUGAGUCUUAGCUCUUUUGACUACAUGGGUUUCCUCUCAGUCUACCAAAUAGGACUUUUGCAACUCAUGUACCUAAUUGCAUCUUUCAAGAUGUAUAUGUGGAUGUAUUUAUCCCUGGCUAAGCACCAUCUAGCAACCAGAUGGUCAGACAUGUAAGCUUUCAUUAAUAUAUUCAUUUCAAACAAUAUUGUACUACAUUUUAUUUUUUACUCGUGUUCCAUCUGGUCCAAAAGUAUCUUAAAAAGAAGGCUUCACUAGGAUUGUUCAAUUUUCUCAUAAUAAAGGGACUAAUUUAUAAUAGCUUAAUUGGAUUAUAGCUAAACUUUAUAAUUGAGUCACUGAGAAGUUACACAUUUAAAUCAAACAAACAAAUGCAAAAUAAAUUCAGAGUUAUUGCAUUAAUAUAAGCUUCACACAGGUUCCUCUCUUGAAAAUUCAGAAUGGUUUUCUUAUGAUUAGAUUAUUCUCAGUCUUAAGUUAGUCUCAGUUCUGUUCGUGCAUUGUAAAGGUCUUGUGCCAUUUCCUUUUCAUAUGUAUUGCAGAGAGCUUAAGAAUAUCACUACACUUUAUGAAACUGGCAAUUAAUCUGUUUUCAAGACUUUACUUUUGUAUUUGGACUCAAAUUCAUUAUUUCCACCUUUCUUACUCCUUUAAAAAAUUACAUAUAGUAUUUUUAUUACAUCAGUCCUCCUGUUCCUCCAUAUGUUUUCCUUUUCUAUUUCUGCUUUUUUCCUUUCAGCCUGAAAAUAAUUGUCUGGCUGACUUUCCUCUAACCCUGAGCUUCCCACCCUGUGUGGUCAUCAAGCCUUUUUGUAUUGCUAGCUUUUAGUAAGGCUAUAUGUUCACUGAAGCUGUAGUGUUUGAAAUAUAUUCCAGAAUGCUUUCUCCACACAGUCUGGGAGCUGUUAAUUUUCUCAGGAAAUUUCAUCAGUUUUGCUUUCUGGUAGAAUGUUAUUCUGGAACACCAGCCCAAACUCCUAGUGCUUCCAUUUUAAGAUUUUUUAGGCCACGCUAAAACAGCAGCCCUUUAAAGUCUACAGCCUUCCAGGAAGCUUUGCCAGCACUCCCUUACUGGCAGAUCACUUUACUCCAGAUCACUUGUUCUUGUGUUCACAUGUUAAACGCAAAUUCUCAGCUUUUAGUUAGUUUUGUUGAAAUCUUAACUAAUGAAAAUGUGGCAGUUGCUUGCAGUAGAAUUUUGAUAUUAUAUGUGUUAAGUAGAUAUUGUGACUACUAGCACCACCUUCCCAAUACUGUAAUUAUGAAGAAUGUUUAUUUAAGAAGUAAGACAUUUAAAAGAAGAUUCAGUAUUCAUAACAUUGAUGUAAUUGAUAGUGGCUAAUUAAUAGAAAUCCACUAAGCAAUCUAUUGAAAUUAUAAGGUACUAUUUUAGCAUAAUAAAACGUUGAAGAAUUAGAGAAGACUAUGGUUAGAUUAUCUACAGCACCCAAUAUUAAUAUUUCAUUUAGAUAAAUUAUUUUUUAACUAAAAUUAUUUUUCGGCAGAGUCAUCAAAUAGUAACUAAACUAUAAUUUCUUCUGGGUUAAUUUGUUCACCUAUAUCUACCUUUGUAUAUUAUUAGAAAAAAAUAUGUGGCUAAUUUUUCUAAUUUUUGAUAUAUAAUAUCAAUAUUUGUGUUCAAAAUAUAUGUACAUAGGCAUACAUACUUAUGUAUACACAUACAUAAAUCUAGAGAAAGAAUAAUCUCAAACUUUUCAGUAUAACACAUGUAAACAAACAGAUUAUAUAUUUUUUAUUAUAGCUUAGUAACAAAUUAAUCCCUUUUCAUGCAAAUUGUCCUUAAAAUUCUAAAGCAGCAUUGUACUACAGUUUAUAAAAAAAAAUCAAAAAAAGAUUUUGUAGUUGAUUGGAAAAGAGAAAUUUAUGUUACUGCUUGUUAGUAGACACUUCCUAUCUGCAUAUUUUAAAUAAAUGUUUCUUGUUAGCUGAUUAACAUUGGCUUACUAGGAUUUUUUUUUUUUUUCUAUGGAAGGCUUAGAUGAAUCAAUGUUUCCGAGAUGCUUUUAUGGCAUUAGCAUGUAUGGCACUGUUUUAGUCCUUAAACCAAUUGAUUAUGUUUCAGAUAUUUCCUAAGGCAAUUUUCUUUUUUUUUUUUUUUCAGAACAUGUACAGUAAGUUAAUCUAUUAAACUGAAGUUCAUUUUUUUCCUCUUAUGUUAAGUCUGAUGAUGAGGUUAUAAGUCUCUAGUGCUAGAAAAAGAAAACAGAAAAUACAAAUAAAACUUUCUACUCAUGGAUCAUUUCAUCUCAUUUUAUCGUUAUUGAUGAUUUUUUCAUUUUGAGAAUGGUAUAAGUGUGCCAUGCUUUAAAACAAACAGUGACAAAAAAGACACACUAUAAUAGUUAAUUUAUACAGAGAGUGUGAUUCCAGAGGCAGAAAAUUUAUGAUACUCUAUAUUUGAAAAGAGUUUAAAUGGAUUAUCUUACUUUUCACCUGGAUCAAAAGCCAUUUAAGAUUGUUCCAAAAAAUUUUUCAGUCAACUGUCAAAAAGUAAUUACCAAUUGUCCAAUUACCAUUACUCCCAUUUGACUAUUUUGUUAUUAUGGAUCAUUUAAUUAACAUUUAUUGAUUAUACAUGUUUCAGUUUUCCUCUGCAAUGCAAUUCCUUCCAUAAUUGUUGGUGCAUGUUAAACUGAAUGGUCUUAUGAUAGCAUAAUUACUAGAACCUUGUAUAGCAUUUUGAUCUUAUCUCUCAUAAGCUUCUCUGCUACAUUUCAGGCAGUCUCACAGCCAUGCUCAGUACUUAUCAAAUAUCAUGUCAUCUCUGCAAAUCACUAAUUUAGCAUUUUACUUUGUAGCACAACUUUGAUUCUUGAAGUACCUAUCAAAUAUCAUGUCAUCUCUGCAAAUCACUAAUUUAGCAUUUUACUUUGUAGCACAACUUUGAUUCUUGAAGUACCCUCCCCCAUACGAUCAUUCUUUCAUUUUGUUGUCGCCACUUUUUCCUUGAUUCCAUUGUCAUCGGCCUCUCUUCAUCCCUUAGUAUGAUUGUUGAAGUAUCCACAUGUAAUUAUUCUUCCACUUCAUCAUGUCAUCUGGUGCCUUCAUACUACCAUCAUAGGCCUUUCCUGAUUCAUUAGCUUCUCUCACCCUUCCCUUCUGACUUCUUUUCCCUUCUUAACCAGCUUAGAUUACAUGGAUCAGUAUGUCAAUAAGUACAUGUCAAUAUCCCAAUUUCCCUUGCCCCAUUAGUUCCGGCCUUCCAAUCAAGAAAAUCAUCAACCCCCAGUGAAGUCAGCUAUCUGUGUUUUCUAUCCUAUGUCAGUGCAGCGUAGCUUAGCUAGUAACAAUAACAAUGUACGUUAAACUACUACCACUAUAACUACUUUAUAUUUGUUAGCUUUGACAGGACUGUCAACAUUGCCAUGUAAUCAUACUAUGUUUUGUCUCUCCUACCCUCUGAAAAGAUUAUUUCAAGCUUGCUCUAUUCUCUACAAAACUCCAAGUCCCUAUUACUCCCUUCAUUCUGAAAAUGACCUGGUCUGAACAAAAACAAAAACACCACAAAAAAAGAAGUUCUUGUAAAAACUUUCAAUUUUAUAUGGGAGACAAAUAAAGUUACAGGGAGCUCUUCAAAGCAACUUUCUUAAAGUGUUGCUGUCAUACCCCCGCCUGCAUCUGCACUAUCCACUCCUUAUCCCAGAGUUAUUAAAUCCAAUAAAAGUUUUGUGGGUAUUCUGCCUACUUUACCACAACUUCCUUCUUGCAACACUGUUUUAUUUUUUUCUAUACCAAGGUAAAUUUUUGUUCUGCUCCUACCUGUCUGCACCCAUUUUAACAAGGCCUUUGCUUGCCCGUUUUUCUCUACUUUUCUGUUGAAUGUUGGGAUCUUCUAGGCUCAGUCUGGGCGCUCCUUUCCUUUUCAUUCUGUAGUCUUCUCCAGACCAACUAAUUUGAUGAAUGGCAUUAGGUCAAAACCUGUCAUUCGUGCCUGUGACCCAUGAUUAUAUUUCCAGUCCAGUUCUCUCCUGACCUUCAAAGGAAUAUAUUCUUUGUCUUCUAGAUAUUGUCACAGAUGUUCAGAAGCACAUCAAAUUCAGUUAAGUCCAAAGCUACACAAUACUACACCCCUACCUUCCUUGUGUGUUCCAUUUUUAAAGAAAGGGACAGCCAUCCAUCCGUUUACAAAAUCAGAAACCAAGAAGUCAUUCUGAAUGUCUUUGUUUCUUUCACCCUUUAUCCAAUCCACUAGGAAGCCAUAUUGAUAUAUUUUACCUCCAGAGAUAUUUGAAUAACUGUUUCUCCACAUUUCUACCAUUAUGACACCCAAGUACAGCUGCCGUCUAUCUCCUCUUGCCAACAUUGCUUCAAUAGUAUCAAUAAUGUUCUCUGUAACCUGCCCAUAUCUUCUCUUAGAGUUCUUUUUUUAUACAUAUAUAACAGCCAGAGAGAGUUUUGAAAAGCUAAUAUUAUUACUAACCUGUUUAUUUCUUAAAACCAUUCUGCCCCACUUCAUUCUCCAGCUACAUUGGCCUUUAAUCAGCUGUUUAAUGUGCCAAACCUAUAUCUGUCUCAGAGCCUUUGCACAUAUUUUUGCCUCUACUUCAAGGGCACCCCUACUCACACAUGUGUAGCUCCAUUGCCACCACCCUUAGCUAUCAUUUUUACAUAGCUCAAAAAUCACUUCUUCAUAGCAAUCUCCCUUGACACUCCAGAUAAGAUUAGUCUCCUGCAAUUGACUUUCAUAGUAUUACAUAUAUGUUUUUCAUAAAAGCUGGUUUAACAAGUAAGUAUGUAUUGAUCCAGUGAUAAAGUUCCAUGGCAAACAAUCAGUUCAAUUCAGUAAACAUUUACUGAGUGCCUACUAUAUGCCUGACCCAGUGUAUUGCUCUCACAAUCAGAGAAGACAGCCACGUCUUUUAAAAUAAGGAAAAUUAUGCUUUCAAAGAAAAGUACAACCCUCAUUUCAACAGACUGAAUGUUUAUCGAGUGCUUAUCAUAUGCAAGAUACAAGGGAAAUAAAUAUACCCUCUCUGGAGGGACUCAUAGACUAGCAAAAAAAAAAAAGCAGAUACAUUAAAAAUAAUUAUAAUCAGUUAUAUAUGCUGCAGGUAUUUAGAAAGCCUUGUUUUUCCUUUGAGGCAGAGUCUUGCUCUGUUGCCCAGGUUGGAGUGCAGUGGCACAAUCUCAGCUCACUGCAACCUCUGCCUCCAGGGCUCAAGCAGUUCUCCUGCCUCAGCCUCCCAAGUAGCUGGGACUACAGGCAUGCACCACCAUGCCCAGCUAAUUUUUAUAUUUUUAGUAGCGAUGGGGCUUCACCAUGUUGGCCAGGCUGGUCUCAAACUCCUGACCUCAAGUGAUCCACCUGCCUCAGCCUCCCGAAGUGCUGGGAUUACAGGUGUGAGCCACUGCACCCAGCCUAGAAAGCUUACAGAUCAGAAAAGCUCAGGUCAGUCCUGAUAAAUAUUUUAAAAUAAAUACCUCUUAAAUAGAUAGGACAUCUCAUUCCUAAAUCUGUGUUAUCACAGAAAAUAUUGUGCCCCUCAGGCAAGAAAAAGUUUAGUCUGUGGAAAUCAAAUUUCAAAGAGACUUAUACAGAAUCAUACAUGUGCUUUUUCUUGGUUGUUAGAAUAAAUCUGAACUAAUCAUGCCCCAUCCCCCUCAUUUCUCCCAGCUUUUCAUUUUUUCAGAUGACUGAAAAGAUUUAUUGAGACCUUACGGCUGCUCACUGCCUAAUAAAGUUCUCCCUCAGUCAUCCUGCUAAUUUGGUUGACUGGUCUAUUUUUAAAAAUUAGCAGUUUUCAGAAACAGCCUCCAGUAUUGUGGCUGUGAAAAAUCUGUUGAGAAGAAAUAAAAGGCUAAAACAAAAUUUAAUACUGUAAGCAAGUAUAAAUUUGUUGGAAUGAUAUACAAUCCUGUGUUGUGGCAGUUUGGUCCCCGAGGCAGGAAAGAAAGCAAUCUGGUUUUCUGAAACAUUCAAAUUUCUCACCUAAGCUCAGCUAAGAAUACAUCAUUAUGGGAAGCAGAGUGGAAAUGCACCAUUUUAUCGUUUAAUUUACAGUGUCAGUGGGAACAGCACAACACAGAAUCCAGAGUUCAAAGAGAGAAAAAGAUCUGGCUUAUGGUGGAUAUAAACUUAAUUUCUUUGAACCAGGAGUCUAGGCCCUGCUGUGUAGAUUUAACAAUGGGCAUUCUAGACUUCUUUUAAUGGCCCUUUAUUUUAGAAAUAGGAUAAAAUAUUCAUGUAAAAAAACCCACUAAAUAUCUACUUGGUAAAAGCCCGAUUCAAGAAAAGUUUUUUGUUGGAUAAUCAAGUACUUUACUUAAGAUACAACAACUUCUUUAGAUUGUCCUUCAUUUAAUAUAAAAGGUCAAUUCUGUUUUCUACCUCAGUUGUGAUAUUAAUCUCUCCAUUUCAUUCUAAAUCCUAUUAAGAGAGUAGAAGCUUAACUUUAUCAUAUUAAUGCCAAGAUCUGGGCAAGCAUUUGUCUAGAUGUAAACAAGGAUAUAUGCCUUUCAGAAGGUUAUAUCCUCAUUGUGAUAAUGAAGAAAGGGGCUUAUAUGUUAACUACCAUGAUUCCACAAGACAGAGUGUUUGGGAAGCCCCCUUUCACAUUUUUCUAACCUGAUAAGCAAGAAAACAUAAGAAGAAAUUAUUUUGAAAUAAAAAAAAAACCCGAAAAUGUGGCUCAAGUAUAGGCUACUUUCAGCAACCAAACUCUGCCUUGAACUAGACCUAAGAGGCAUCUGCUGUUCCAAUGGUUCUCAAACCAGGCGGUUUGUUAAGAUCACCUUGGGCAGGGGUUGGUUUUUAGAAAUACUCAUUACUCAGAUGAGCCCAACACGGAGAUACUGGUGAAAUUUUCUGGGUGGGGACCCUGCAUGGGUGUUUUUUAUUAGUUCCCAGGUGGUGUUUAUAUUCAGCCAGGCUUGAGAAUCACUGGCACGUCUGACCCCAAUUCACCAAUCUAUCAAUUAAGCAAGGAGCAGCAUUCAGGUUAAAUAAACAGCUUAGAGUAUCAGAGGCUCAACUCUGAGAAUGCAAUGUAGCCCUCAUCCAUACCCCACUCCAUGAGAGGCUAUACUCUUUUAUUUACUCAAUUGUCCCACCAAACAGAUCCAUUGUUUUGAUAUUUUAACUAUUGCUGAAACAAAGCAUUAAGUUAUUCAAGCAGGCGAGAAAUUCAGUGGAAAAAAAUAAUGUGUUAAAUCAUUUGCUUGGCUAAACUGACAGUUGGUUUCUGCUGAAUAUUGAGUCAGGAAGCCGUUACCCAAAUCCUCUGUUGAUGAAAUAAUAUAUCACUGUAUCAUUGAAUCUCUGUCUUUUAAAAUAUAUAUAUAAUUGAAUAUGAGCAAAUCUCUGCAUUUAUAUUUUCUUCCAAAAAAGUACUGUUCCUGUUGUCAAAUUGGAACAUAUUGUACUUCCUAUAUAUAUCACCCACAAGUCAUUUUUAAACCUGGAUCACUGUCUAUCCUGAAAUAAAAGGUCUACUACUAGGAAGGGGUGGCUUUAUCCUCCUCCAUUCCUCAAAGCUUCAAAUUCCCAUCUGCUAUGCAUUGCUAAAGGGCCUGGUGAUGAAUUUCCCAUUGCUUUUGCAUUUUAAAAAAAUAAAACUAAAAGAAUUGGUCAAAGAAAAGAAAAUCCUUUGUCUAUAACUUGUAUGAAAUCUAAGUAUAUUUAGAAUAUAGUCCAAUCUCAUUUGUACUGGCAAUGUGUUACAAGUCUUUUUGUAUACAAAGGAAUCUCUUUGUAAUCCAUUUGACCAGGCAGCAGGAUCCAAUAUGUGACCGCUCUUGGUGUUCCUCCAAGUGGGUGCAAAACCACUAGAGCAUUUUGAUUCACAAUGUGGGGAAGAUGUUAUAUAUGUAAAACACACAUAUUUGUACACAUAUGUAUAUAUUUUACAUGUACAUGAGUGUAUGUGUGUAUAUAUGCAUAUAUACAUAUUACACAUGAUAUAUAUAGAAAAUCUGGCAGGCUGGUAACCCAGUGUAUCCUCUCCUGUGAGGACACAGAAAAAGAUAAAAACCAAAAACACGAUAAAAAGCUAAUGGUCACAACCUAUAGUAAGAAUCUAAAAAUUCCACUAACAAUCAGGCUUUUGGAACCAGAUUAAGGAAACUAAAAAUGGCUGGCCUAAAUAAACUUCACUCCCACUGCCCCUCACUGCCUGACAAAAAAUAGUAGGAAGAUAAUAUUUUUUUCUUUCUUUUUUUUUUCCCUCCCUUCAUCUUACUAACUAGAGAAUCAGGUUUAUUCUACCAAAAAAAAAAAAAAAAAAGAAAAGAAAAGAAAAGAAAAAAAGAAAAAACUGAAGAGCUGUUCAGUUUUUCCAUGAUGGCUCUGAAUUUCCUAGUUGCUAAACCUGUUUCUUUUUUUUUAAAUGAUGGCAAAAGUGAGGUACAUUUGUGUUGUUAUGAGUACUACGUGUGAUUAAUCUAUGCAAGGCCUUUAGUUAGUGCUUAGCGUAGAAUAUUUACUGUAUAAUUAUUAAUGAUUAAUAUUGCACUGCAAGAAGCAUACUUUCAUAAGCAGACAUUUUACUAAUUUUUACGUCUACUCAGAGAUUAAAAAUUACAGAAAACUGAGAGAAGCCAAAAAUUUAUAAAGAGAAGACCCACUACCAGUGGUUCAAUAGAACAGACUCAAUAGAGCAGUGCCUGGUAGGGUGGAGGUGCUCAACAAUUAUUUGCAGAAUUAAUGAUAAUAGGUCUUGAUAGAGAGGGAAAGGAAAAAGAAAGAGCUUGGUGAUGGUGCGUGUUGAAAGAGCAGUUUUCUGGGUACUAUAGAAGUUUAGCUUGCUGGAGACAGUCAUACCUCAGUACAGCAGAGAGGUACUGGGUGCUUACUUGUCAAGAACAGUUUCAGAAGGGUGCAUAUCCAUCAGGGGUGAGGAGUAGGGGGAAGGGGUGUCUAUGAAAGGAAUCUGCUCAACCUGCAAGUAGAGAGUAAAAUCUGUCAUUUGUGUCUUGAUGACUAUAGAGGCUGGAUAAAUUUUCAUUAUUGGAGUAUAGGUAAGAGGGAAAAAAAUGAAUUCAAACUUUUUAAGAAAUUAUAAAGACCAAGGGAAGAGAACAUCAUUUUCAAGAUGAUUGCCGGCAAAAUCAUACCUCUGAAAAGUAUUACCGUCAGAAUCACACAUUAGUAAUCAUUUGACAUACAUAAAAUCAUGAGCUCUAUGUGACAUCGGCAGAGAUUUGCAAGAGAACAAAUUGAACUGUGGAGUGAUAUUGCUAUAAUAAUAAUAUAUGUAAUAGUUACAGUAAGAAGUAUAAUUAUGAUUAUUAAUAAUGUGGCAAGUAUUUGUAUUUGAUCCUAUCAAAAAUAAAAUGCAUCAAUAACAGUAAUGAUUAUGUCACUGAAAUACAGUUAAAAUUAUGAAAUUAUCUUGACAUUGUUAUAUUUCCUAAUCAUAGCAUAUGCAAGUCAAGUGCCUGCCACUUCUGUUAACGUCAGAUAUGACUGAGGGAUGAUGCUCAACUCUCAAUAACAGCAACAAUGUCAGCUGUCCUUUCUAUGUGUAUUGAGCAUUGUUACCACUAAUGUCAUGGCAAUUCUAAAUGUAGAUAACUACCUUUUCUCUAGAGAUGAUGAAACUGUGGCUCUGAAAGGUCAGGCAAUUUACCUAGAGAUAAUAAUGCAGGAAAAAGCUGUGUCUGUGGCCAGGACACUUCUGCAUUUUCACUGAGGUGACCUGCACACACACAACACUCUCUGAAACUCAGGUUUCUAUUUUGCAUAAUGGAAACAUGAACACAUUCAUUGCAGUGCUAUUUUGAAGACUGGAUGAGAAAGGCAGUGUGAAAGUGUUUUUAAAUAUUUUCAUUCUGUUGGAUCACACUCUCUGAUGACACCUAAGCAUCUGCAUUUCCUGAAGAUUCAUAGGUGAUUGUUAAUUUUCAGCCACCAUUCAGAAAUGCCUUUUGGAGAGAAUCUGGCAUGAACCACUCAGUCUCACAUACUCCCAGAGUUUGAUUUAUAUAGUAUUCUCAUUUUUAGUUAUGGCAAUACAAAUACUAGUCAUCAUUUCAGGCUGUUCUCUCAAACUUUGAAUCGCUAGGCUAAUUACAGCCUACAUAGCAAAAUAAGGCCCCUCCAUCUAGAAUCCUGGCAUGGAUUAGCAGUGUUGGCCCACCUGCUCCCUGCAAGAAAAGUGUUCGGAGCUGGUGGACUAGUGGCCACUUUUCAGAGAGCUGGGCAGUUGAAGAUCCCAUACCAGAAGGAUGGCAGCUGGGAAAUUCAGUAUAGACACAGCAGGAUGGAGGAAGGGCAGAAGGUUGUUCAGUACCUCUUCCUUACAAAAUCUUUAGGAAAAUCAUUAAGUUUAUGAAAUGCUAAAUAUGAAAAAAGGAGUGAAGGGGUGGAUCCUCUCAUCUGGGCCUGACAUAUGUAGCAGGGUUGAAAUUGUUAAUUUCUAAUGCAGAUAUGCCAAAGUCUGUACCCUCUUUCUGUAAGUUGUCUAAGUAUCCUCAUGAGUCUUACCAUUCUGGCUGGUAGAAAAGAACAUAAAGUUCUCAAGCUUCUUUUAAAAUUUAAAACUUUUUGUUGUUUUUCUUGAAAACAUUUCCAAAGAAUCUCAAGAAAAUCUGCGAUGAAUUAAAAUUCCAAAUCCAACUUUGAGCUGUUUUUUCCUUUUCUUCUUCCUUCAUCCACACAGUUAUCCUCAUGAGAUUGGCGAAGGCCUCCUCUUCCUGGCCUGUCAUCUGGGUUUGCGCUGGUUCCACCCUCAAGUGGAAUGGUGGUUCUCAACUUUUCUGUGGGCAUCUGGCAUUGGUGGCUACUGAGGCUUUUUUAUCCCACUUGUUUGUAUAUAUUCUGUAUUAGCAGCUCCAAUUGCUGAAACUCUCCACUGGGAGAACCAUAAUAUCCCCAUCCUUUCCAUCCUGUUUUCUGGACUCUACCUCUUCUUUCACAGAUGCUGUAAAACAGGCUCAGAACCUUCUACCAUCUGCCCUCCACCUUGUUCUGCUUUCUCUGGGCUUUCUCACCCACAGCCCAGGCAGUGUGGUUAUUCCACUGUCUGUGAAGGUAGCUCCAAGGGCAGCCAUCUGGCCCUCAACACAGCUAUUUUUCUUGUACCCAUUAAAACACUGCAAGAUUGGAAACUUUCUUCUACUCCAGGAGUCAAGAUAGAAUAUCAGAGUAGAUUCAUCUUACUGUCAUUUUUCGUCUGCUUAGGAUGUUCCUUGUUUACAGGGAGCACACUUCAAGGCAGUCUGUCCCAGGUCUCAUUCUGCAUUGAGACCCCCUUCAGACAUUUCUGAACUGCUGCUAUAUAGUGUCACUGUCUGCUAAAUAUGGGACUUCUCUCAGCAGCUCAUGAUCAACAUAUAUUGCACCUUGAUAAGAAAGAAGCAAAUUGCCUACAACAGGGCUUUCCCAGACUUAUUUGUGCAGUUUUCACUACCUUAUUGUUUUGAUCCCAAGUGGAGGGCUUGGUGUCUGACCUCUGGCUACACUCUUCCCUGUUCCAGCUACCUUUCCUAAACCAGAAGGUCAUUGAUAUACUUCACCUUCCUGUAUUAUGAAAUUUCCCUGAUUAGUCUCAUUGCCUUCUCCAAAUAUAUCUUUCACCCUUCUUUUAACUUGGGACCAUAACACUGGAAGGGUUGAAGGUGAAUACGAUUUAUUCAUCCGUUCAAUGCUAUCUAAAAGAUUUUCCUUUUACAUUAGAUUUCAUGCAAGAAUUUAGGAGAGGCAGUUCUUUGGAGAUGUCAGAAAUUAAUUGUCACUCCACAUCUUCAGCUAUCUCCCAAAGUAAGAGCAUGCUGCCCUCUUAAAGUCAAGACUCGUAGUUUAUAGCUAAAUAAAUGAAUGCUUGGACGUUGUUGUUUUCUCCCAUAAAGCUGUGUACCAUGUCUCUGAAUGGUCUGAAUUCAAGAAUCUACCCCAUUUAAAAUGGGACACAGUUGAAGCUGGACUAACUGGUCUUCUUUUACAUUCCUUGACAGGCAGGAAGUAUUUCUCUCUCUGGAAGAAACCAUUACAGUCAUACUGCAUUACUGGCUCUUAUAGCAGAAUGAUACAUUUUAUUGCCUUGUUUACUAACCCUUCUUGUUCUGGUACGCACUGCUGGCAUUUUAAAAUUUGGCUUUCUAUCAAAGCCAAACUGCUUCUUUUAGUGGUUUUCUUUAUUUUCUAUCAGAACAUUUUAACCCAACUCGAACAAAACCAGAUAUAAAACUUUUGAAUAGAGAAAUCCUCACAACCUUUAUAAGACAAAUGUGCUUUGUUUUUCAUUAGGUUUAGCUAUAAGGUACUGUCUCUAGUUCUUCUAAAGGGAUAAAAACAUAAAAUUGGUAGAUUAUCCUAUAGGCCACUCAGAAAAUGGCUAAUUACUUUGUAAUUUUCUCUAAAUCCUGGCUAUCACAGUGACAUUGACAAAUUAUUUUCACUUUUGUUGAGAUUGAUGACAAAUCUGAUGCUUGUUUUAAUAUAAACUUGACUAUAAGGGAGUGAUAGGUUAGUGGUUAAAAGAGGACUUUGAAAUCAGAUCAUUGGCAUUCGAAUUUCAACACUGCCACUGUUGGGUCUGUGAUCCUGGGCACACUAAUAAUGUCUGUAGUAAGAUUACCAUCUACAAAAUGUAGAUAAUACUUACCACUUGAUAAAAUUGAACUAAAACUAUAUGAGAUAAAGUAUGUAUAGAAUCUGGUUCAGCAAAAGAUCUCUAUGGAAAGAGUGAAUAUGUUAUCUAAUGGUUUGUCAGAUACAAUUUGCAACAACUAAUUAAGAUGGUAAUAUCAGCAUUACCAUGUAAACCAAUCACCACAAAUUAAAGUGGUAGAAUAUUUUGGUCAUAUUCACUUCUGUUAAUGGUCGUAAACCUAGUUCUAGAAGCCAAGAACAGAUUUUGUAGGAAAAAAGACAUAUUUGAUAUGGAGCUGUACAGUUUCUUGAAGUGUCUCUUAAAUUGUAUUCCCUGAUUAAUGAACAGUGCCUUCCUACGCAUGGAUUUGAUUUCAUCUUCUACUUCAUACUCAGAGUCCACAAAUCCCCUGUAAGACAUUUGAACCUAGCUACUAGAAAAAAUAAUAGGAAGCGUAAAAACUAAUGAAGUUACAAAUAAAUUAACAGUUUACUUGACAAUAAAUGUGAAGUCAAGUUUAAUCUACCUCUUAAUCUAAGGAAAAUUAGUAAGAGACAUUUUUGUCUGCACAGCUUUGACAUUGAGCUAUGUUUGUGCUUUCAUGCAACCCAGAUUUUGCUAGUUUAUUUCCACAGUUAAUAUCUGCCUCUACCAUAGAUUUGGCCUGAAAAAAUAUUUCAAGGAAAAGUUUACUAAGAAGGGUAACAAAUUGAUUUCAUUUUAUAGUGAAACUUCAGAAUCAUUUCUCUCUUCCUGUUCUUUUUCAAAGGGGUACAUGCAUAAUUCGUUUACUUUGUAUUGCGUAUUUUUAUAUUCUUUUCCCUCUCCUUAUGCUCUUCACUGCUAUGUUUAUAUUUAUAUAACAGGUGCAAACUGAGCAUAUAAUGGAGUGAAAAAUGCAGUAAUUUGGCUCACCCCUUCCGUCUAGGUUACUAGAAAUGCAGCUUGCCAACUCACUUCCAAAGUACAGAAUAUUUUGCCACCUAGAAAAGAUAUAUUGGAAUGAAUAUACAAAAUAUAACAUGCACAUGCACGUGCAAACACUUAUGUAGCCAAGGCCACAGAUAUAUGAUGCUGGCCUGCGACAAUAUUUCUGAACAGUCAUUUAAUCAACAACUAUAUUUGAGGAAUUAAUAUGUUCAGAAAUGUGACAUACGGUGAUGAUACACUUGUAAUAAACACAGGAAUUCUGCCUUUGUGGUGACUCCAGUGCCAAUAUCACCCAUUUAAUUUCCAGCUACUAUUCCUGAGGACUUCAGCUACUAUUUUACUAUAGACAUUUUCCAAGCUGAAGGUCCCUCACAGGGUUUUCUCUGUAACUCAGUUCUACUGGAAUUCUACCAUUGCCUCUUAGCACAGCAACACUGUACUGUAAGCAUGCUACGAAGACCUGUUCUCUGGUUGUAGACUGCACCAUUCAUUGAAGUGGCAUUAUUCUCUUCAUGAAUGUGCUAGACCUGGCCCAGUUGCCAUGCUAGAGCACGUUUUCCCCUGGCUGGUGGGGAAUAAGCAAAUUUACCUUCUCAAUCAUUUCAACGGCUACACCCUUCUUUUGUUGUUGUUGUUGUUUUAAUUUCCUCUUACAUUUCUGGAUUCUUCUACCUUCCUCUUUCCCCUAUAUUAUUUUCCCAUUUCUAUCUUGACUCUAUUUUUUUUUUAGAACUAGUUAAUUUUAUUUUAGAAGUAAAGGAAUAUUAUAAAAAUAGCACCUGUUAAGUUCCCUCAUUAUAUCACAAUUAUCCUAGGUGUAUCAAUAAUUAAUCGUAUUUUUAAAAAUGAAUAAGAAAAUAUCUUCUAGGUCUGAAAUUGGAAGAUCACAUAAUUAAAUUUGUAUGUAGUUAUAAUGCUUCACUAAAUGGAAAGAAGAAACAAAAUAAAAAUUAAGCUGAAUUCCUUAAACAUAUAAUAUAUCCUUAAAUUUAAAAUAUAUUUUAUAAACUUUGACCUCCCAAAGAUAUAAAAAUCUAUCCAAACUUAACUUGUAUAACAUUAUCUUAUGUCUCAAAGAUAGGGAUUCCCAUCUACUAGAGAUCAAAUGGAAGAAAAAAAUAGGAUUUCUUCAUAUUCCAACAGAUUUAUAGAACUUUGAAAAGAUUUACAUUUUUGUGUUUCCAGGAUUUUGAUGAUCAAUUUAAUUUGGAAUUGACUCUUAAAAGUUUAACUGACAAAGCUAAAUUAAGAUGUUUUAACCACAUUUCCACAUUUUCUUUCUGCCACCUUAGAAUGCACUACUCCCUUUGGAGACUGUUGUAAAAGCCGAUGUAUUUUUUUUGUUUGUGUUUUAUUUUAGUUUUUAUUUUUUUGAGAUGGAGUCUUGCUCUGUCACCCAGGCUGGAGUGCAGUGGCUCAAUCUCAGCUCACUGCAAGCUCCGCCUCCCAGGUUCCUGCCAUUCUCUUGCCUCAGCCUCCUGAGUAGCUGGGACUACAUGUGCCUGCCACCACGCACGGCUAAUUUUUUGAAUUUUUAGUAGAGACGGGGUUUCACUGUGUUAGCCAGGAUGGUCUCGAUCUCCUGACCUCAUGAUUCGCCCGCCUUGGCCUCCUAAAGUGCUGAGAUUACAGGCAUGAGCCACCGCGCCCGGCCCAACGUACUUUUCAUUGGCAAGUUUGCUUUGCAUUUCUAAUAUUACUCCUGGUGAGUGGAAAAUUCUCUAAAGGAAAUGUCUUCAUUGUCAAGUGCACCUGAUGAAUACAGAAAAAUCCUAGACUGACGUUUUAAGUUGGUCAUGUUUUCUCAAGCUUUCUUUGAUGUAGACAGUGGUUUCAGAGUAAAUCCUCCAGUGUUUCUCGUUGUCUUCCUUAGUUUGUUUCAUGUUUGCUUUUCCUAAGCCAGUGCUAUUUUUACUGUUUUGAUCAUACGCCAGUAUCUGUCAAUAUUUUAUACAAACCUAUAUCACAAAAGGACAACAAAUUCCUAGGAUAUAGCACGUAGUUUAUAUCUCCCACCCUUUCCUCACAUCCCCUGCCAUUGUUCAGUUACACCCUUUGUAAGCAGGCCCUUGACAGUUUGUCCCUGUGGACUGCACUGUACCAUUCAAAUAUCAUUCAGCCAGUCAGUCAACUUGAAGAAUUUUAGCAUGCACCUUGGAAUAACAGUUUUUUAGUCUUUACAUGAGAACAUUCUUCAGACUAUUAACAUCUGCAGAGGGGAAGAAUGGCCAUCAAAGCUGGGCAUAUCAACAUUUCAACCACUAAUAUUAACAGUGCCAAAGCUCUGGGAUCAAGUACAAUGAAUUGUGAAUAGACUAUUAAAAGCUGACAGCAAAUGAAUAUUUGAAACACAUAUAAAAAUCUAAGAAUAUGAAAACAUGUGAGAAAAUGUUUAUCCAUAUUUAUAAGAUACUUUGUAUCAAGGAAUUAUUUAAUUCUAGUAAAAAACAUAUCAAUAUUUUUAAGUCAAAAAUCAGGAUUCUUGUUUUGUUUUCUACUAGAAUAAUUUUUCAUUCCAUUGCUGCUGUGACUCUUAUCUAAAUUGACAAAGAUGCCUAUAUCUCUCUCUCCUUUUCUUCUGUGACAUUUGUGAAAAGUCUUUCAAGGCUAUACAUUUUUGUAGUGAUAGUAUCCUUCUGUAUGAUCAUAAAAUUGUGACUUUCUAUUCUGUAUAACAAUAGGGUACAUAUAUAGAGUAAGUCUGGCAAACUCUAGCUGAUACAAUUGGUUUACAUCUUAUAUGAAAGUUGGGGGAAUAGGAAAAUGUAUACAUGUAAAAAAAUUCCUGUUAAAUUAUCAGAACUAUAAUUUUAAUUUGAAUAUUAUAAUCACUUGAACACAAAGUACAUUUACCAUAUUCCAUUUGAUGGAAUAAAUAUAAGACAUCUGCCAACUCAUUCUUUAAAAAUCGAUACUAUAAUUGUGAUUCCAAAAAACCAAGUCAACACAUAACUACUUUAGUUGAUCAUUUGAUGACUACUAACAAUACUUACUCUUCUAUUGCUUAAGAUCUAACAUGAGCCAAAUGCAAUGGAACAAUCAAUUCCAAUACGGUGUAAUAAAUGCUGUAAUGAAACAGGUGCGAAUACUAUGGAAACAGAGUUAGAAGAUGACUAAGUGUUAACUAAGGUGAAACCAUAGCAUUAGGGACCAGAGUAGGAAAUAAGCAUUAGGAGAAACAAGUGAAUGUUUCACUCAAAGAGAUACCAUGACUAGCAGUCUGAAAGAAAGAUCAUAUUUAAGAAACUGAAUAUUUGUUUGCUUUUCUAAUAAAGUUGAUGUAGGUGUGGCAAGUGGCAGAUGACAAAAGACUGAAGAAUUAAAUAGGGUCAGAUUACAAAGCUUUAACUUAUGAUAAGGCAUUUUGGACUUCAUACUAAGGUCAAUACUAGAGAGUAAGUAAAUCAGUGAACUUUGGCUCUAGGAGGAAGGCAAGACCAGCACAGUGCAUAACAUUUAGACAUUAUUAAAGUAACCGAGUUCAGAGAUGUUUUCUGAACAAAUGAGCAGCAAUGGUUAUAGAUUUUCAAUCAAAAGAAGAUUGAAAUCAAUUUAAAACUUAGUUUCUUUUAAUUCUGGGCUAUGACAAAAUACAUAAAUACCCCUUAAAUAUGCCUUAAAGGUCCUUUAUUUUUACCUCUCAAAUUGUUGCUCUUUGCUACUCCUGAUUUUCCAUCACAAAACCCCAAAAUAAGGAAUUGAGAUGUUGCCAGGUCCUAAGGAAAUAAUUGCAUGGGGAUAAUUGUCAAGAAGUUGGAAAGAAGGGAGAGGCUCAGUCCUAGAGAGAAGAAAACCAGUUCAGUGUUGUAUCUUUUGAAUGUUAGGUUUGUAUAGAAGAGCCGAACUCACGGUGUGGUACACAGACCUCUAGGGGGUCCCUAGGACAUUUCAGGGAGUCCACAAUAUCAAAUCUACUUUCAUAAUAUUACUAAGGUGUUAUUUCUUUCCAAGAUGUUGACCUUUUUACUGAUGGUGCAAAAUCAGUGGUGGGUGAAGCUAUUGGCAGUUAAGCAGUAAUCAAUUGUUGUAGUCAUUGUAUUCAUCACUUACAAUAAAUAAAUAAACAAAAAACAGUUCACUUAACAAUGCCUUUGAUAAAGAAGUAAAUUACUAAUUGUAUUAAAUGUCAACCCUUGAGUACCUGUCUUUUUAAUCUUAUGACCAAAUGGAAGUUACACAAAAAUAGUUUGUGCUGCAUGCAGACAGUCUCCAGGAAGGAGGAAGAGGUGGAGGAGGAGUGGGGCAGGGAGAGGGGGAUGGAGAGUGGGGAAGGGAAAGAGGAAGAAGAGGAACACCUGUGUUAUUGUCUCAGUUGUGAGUUGAACUCAUCAGUUUUUCCAUGGAGUGCCAUUAUUGUGUGAAAGAACUAGUGAGUGACAAACUAUGGUGAUUUAGAUUUGGGUAUUUGACAGACAUGUCAAUAUUGAAUAAGGUGAACCUCUCACUUCACAGAAAACCACUGACAGUAUUUGUUGCCAAUGAUAAAAUUUAAAUGUUCAAGUAAAAAUCAGAAGGUUGGAAAAUUAGUGUCUGCCACCAUAAACUUGACAUCUAAUAGAGACUUUCUUGAUGAGAUUGGAAUGACGUUUUAAAAAAAUAUGUUAUUUUGAUUUAGUAUAAUAAAAUAACAAAAAACAAAGAGGAUGCACAUAACAUAGUAAACUAAUAUGUUCAAAAUGAUCUAUGCAUGAUCAUGCAUGGAUAAAAAAAUCCAUUCAAAGAAAAUGCUAUACCAGCAGAUUUUAAUAUUACACAGUUCUGUGUUCUGUGUUACUGACUUAAGAGUUCUUUGUAUGUUUCUUAGAGUCUCCAUAAAAAAUACAACAGCCUGGGAGGGAUAAACAACAGAAAUUUGUUUUUUCACAGUUUCAAAGGCUAGAGAUUUGAGAUCAAGGUGCUAGUAUGCUUGGUUUCUUCUUAGGCCCCUCUCCUUGGCUUGCAGAUGGCUGCCUUCUCCCUGUGUCCUCACAUGGCCUUUUCUCUGCGUCUGCCUCCCUGGUGUCUCUCCUUCUUGUUAUAAGGACACCAGUUCUACUCUAGAGCGCAACUAUUAUGACCUCAUUUAACCGUAAUUCCCUUAGAAGCCCUAUGUUCAAAUAUGGUCACAUUUAAGGAUAAGACCUCACUACUUAAGGUCUCCAGUUUGAGUCCAGCCUGGCCAACAUGGUGAAACCCCAUCUCUACUAAAAAUACAAAAAUUACCUGGUACGCACCUGUAAUCCUAGCUACUCGGGAGCCUGAAGCAGGAGAAUCACUUGAACCGACAGAGCAAGACCCUGUCUUAAAAAAAAAAAAAAUCUGAUUUUUAGGUUUCACAUUGAAAUCAACUUUUAAGAACCUAGCAUUUGUUGAAUUUUAGUGUAGUAUCAAAGAAGAAUGCUUAUAAUUACCUGAUAAAUUAUUGAAAUUCAACUUCCUUUCUGAACUACAUAUUUUCAUGAAGAGAUAUUUUAUUCACAUACAUUAACCAAAACAACGUAUCAUAGAAAAAUUCAGGGCAGAUAUGAGUAUACAGCUAUCUUCUGUAAGCCACACAUUAAAUUUGCAGAACUUUACAACCACACCACUAUUCCACUAUUCUUUUUCUUCAGAGAUAUUGUCAUUUAUCAAAAGGUGUUACGUUUAUUUUAAUUGGUAAAGGAAUUUUUAUUAUUUUUAAUGAAUGAGUUAAUAAAUUUCCGUACGAAUAUCUAGUGUGGCAAAUAUCAAUAAAUAUAUCACACAUAACCUUAAGCUCUUUGGGUUCUCAGUAAUUUCUAAGUGUCCAAAGAGUUAUUGAGACUAAUAUGUUUAACAUCUGCAGCUUUAAAACAUCAGCUUGGGUUUUGACUAUCUGUGUUUAGAACUUGUGAUCUUCCUGAAGAUGAUUCAUCAAUGUCAAAGCACAAGUAAGAAGAAAUUAGUAACUGGUAAAGAAGCCUGAGGAAUGCCUGUAUUUAAAGCCAGAAAGAAGAGAAUGAGCUGGCAAAUAAUUAGUAAUACCUACCUUUUUAAAGUACUAUACUAAGCUCUAGGUGCACAGAAAUGAGCAAAACAAAUGCAGCCCAUGCCUUAACCUAGCCUAUGGUCCAGUGGAAAAAGAAAGGGAAAACACCUUUUCAUGGAAGACCAGAAAAAAACAAUUUCAAGGAGGGAGUAGUGAGUAUCAGUUAUUGCAGGUAAUUCAAUUAGAUGAGGACAGAAAUAUGGUCUCUCUGACAUCAGGGAGUUUAGUGAAGGUGGGCUUGAUGAAAGCAGUGAGUCAAGAAUGCACAUGAAUUCUCCACACCUGCCUUUUCAGCAUUCAGGAAUGGAUCAUCUCGCAAUUCUUGUGUGAGAUGAGAAAGGAAAGUUGUUCAGAGCCAUUGGAGAAAGGAAUGCUUCUUGAUUACUUAUCUUCAGUAUUAUUUUUUGUUUCCCGUACUCCUAAGAUGCAUAUUAACCAUGAAUUAGCAGGACUGGUACUUUUACAUUAUCUAACCCUGCAUUUGAAUUAUGUCUGUUGACAGACAUCAAAAAUAUCCCACUUAACUGUCCCUUAUGUACCUCUCCUCCCUUUCUCUUACUCUCCCUCUCUUUUCUGUGUCUCUCACACACACUCACAUUUGCACACACACAUCCACGCACAUAAUCUUCCAUACUCUACUGUUUCGGAAACCUUGGAUAUGUGUAGUAGUAGGAGGGUUAUCGCUUCAUGCAACAGCAUAAAUCACUCUUGAUGAGUUCUAAUUCCUAAAACAAGUGACUUCUGGAUGAAUCUGCAUUUAACUCCGUUAAAUAUAUGCUCAUGUAUCCUAGAUACGUCUUCUGAAUCAAUCAGAACACGAAUAUUUUCACUGUGACAAACCUUCAAAUAUUUGAAGAUUGUCAUUACUUGUUCCUUGAGUAUUUGGUCCCCCAAUGUAAAUAUCACCGUUUAUUUCAAGCAGUUCUCAAAUGACAAGAUUUUCAUUACUAUAUCCAUCCUGGUAACUCCCCUCAGGAUAUAUUCUAGUGUACUAAUAUCUCCAUAAAGAUUGCCCCAGAAUGGCACAUUAUGUUUUCAGGUGUGUUUACAGUAGUAUAUGUACAUUGGGAUUCUUGUGCUUCUUGACACAGACACUUCAUUGCUUUUAAUAACCUAAGAAAACAUCAUAUCAGUGUACUGUAUUUGUCUAGCAUUGUGUGGAUAAUGCUUAGUUUUGGAGAGGCAUGUGGUAAAACAGGAUACUUAUUCAUACUUUUUAUGUGUUUGCAUGUAUGUGAAUACACACACACACACACACACACACCCCUCAUUUUCUGAAUGUAACUUAAAAAUAGCUUUUAAGAGAAAUGACAACAUAACUUUUGCACUACUGCUGAUAAUUAUGGGUAUAAUUUGUUUUGGGUUUUUUGUUUGUUUGUUUAUUUGUUUUUUCCUCUCAUCUGCAAUCUCUUCCUUUUUAGUCUGUCUCCUGCCUUACUUUCAGAUCUAUCAUUCUAGGUCCAAAUGAACUCACUUCACUGCACCACUUCAAAACCCUUCACGGUUGCUCAUCAAUUGCAAGGCCAAAUCUCAACUCCUCAUCUAACUUCCAUGGCCUUUUACACUCUGGAUCCUGCUGCUGUCUCCCUCCUUGCUUCAAUCACAAAGUAUGUGUGGCUCUGUUACCUCUUGCUGUGACUUUUCAGACACACAGGAAGGAGAUUUGGGGAGAUUGAAAAAGGUACAAUAAUCCAUAUCAUCUGGAAGCUUUUUCAAAUUGUACAUGUCCUUCUCACUCUUCUCAGAGAUUUCAUAUUUCCCAGCGGGGGUGAAGAACCCUGUUGAGCACGACUGCAGCCCCUAGGCAUUGUUAAUCCUGAGAGGGUGCCACGUCCCCUAGCUGUACAAAAAUAGAUAAAAGAUGGAACAGUGCUGCUCUACCUGUUUGCUGUAUAAAAUCCAAAUCUUCCUUUAGAAUUCUACUCAAAUAUUAAGGCUUUUCUGAAGCCCUCUCUGUCUCCUAUUAUCAGAAGUUAUGUAGCACAUUGUGUUUGGUUAAACUAUUUCAGAUGACUAUGAUCUGGCCAUUUUGGCCCACAAGAAACUCACUGUAAUAUGCUUCAGUCUACUGGUAGAUCCAUACACACACAUCUCACUGCAUUUUAAUCCUUUGUUUAUAAGCUUGUCUUGAACUUAGACUGUUACCCCUUGGUGUAAAAAAUACAUCGUAUCCCUGACAACCAGCACUAUUGCCUGGCAUGUAGUAAAUGCUCUGUAAGUAUUGAAUAAAAUGAUAUUUUCUAUUAAAAAACCUAAUAUCUAAUAAUAGUAGAAUAAUGAUACUUUAUAGCCAUGAAAAGCAUAAGUUGAGCAUUAAAAUCAUGAACAACUUGCAGUAGUACUUAUAGUCUAACAAGUUGAAAAUAUAUAAGAAUGUUUAUGCAAAUAGACAAAACAUGAAAUAUAAGAAGUUUUAGGGUGAGUGAUGGGAUUAUUUUUCUCAUUUACAAGUAUUUUUAACUUAUUAUACAUAGCAAGUAUGUGUCAUACUAUUCGCUCACUACCGAGGGCAUAGAAUGUCUUAAAUCUUUGUACCUCCUUGCAGUUAGCACAAUACAUGUGUGUUACAGAUGAUCCAUAAUGAUCUGUUGAAUGAAAGUUUUAAGUGCCCUAGUGUAAUGUAAGGGAAAUCAUAGUCAGAAAAUAUUUUGUUAAGGGACCUCAGUGAGCCAAAUCCAAACUUGCUUUAUUGAAUUAAGAAGCACUGGUGAAAGAAGUAAAAAUGGUCCUAUAUCAUUCACCGUCUUACUGCCAUAGACCCCACAACCUGUAUACUAAGGGUGGUUAUGAGGCCAAACUUCCUAAGACAGUUUGACUAAAACACAAGAGGCAUCUGUAGGAGGAAAAAUUUCUAGUUCUUGUUGAUUUUGCUUUUUGACUAAAAAAGUCCCCUUUGUGCUGUGGGUAAAAUUAUCAAAAGGAUAAAAGCAGAGGUGCCUAUGCCUAGUACUUCCAUUUCUUCGAGUGCUGGCAAUGUACAGUUUUCUUAGACACCUGGAGCAGCUUAAGAAUCCACUCUUGACUCCUGCUUGUCAGCACUCUGUCUCCACUCCAGAAUGAACAGAGGCUAUGUUUCUAGAAAAGCCAACUUCUUUGUUGCUAUUUCCUUUCUCAUGUCUUCUUCCUCCCUCUAUGCUAAUUUUCUCCGCUGUGAAGCUCGCAUGAAUUAAAUUGCAGUGAAACGUAGUGGCAACUACAGUGAGAGAAGAAAUGGUUAAAUCAAGAGUCCCUAUUCUGGUUGGAGUUUAUUUCUUCCUUGUCUUUGGACAGCGGCCUCUUGUGGGGACCCAACUGAGAGAGAUCGUCAUAGCUCAUGGGUCCCAAUGUGGUGCUUUGACCUAAUUAGUUUAUUUUCACUGCUGUGUAAAAAGAUCCUAGAGGAAAAAAAAAAUAGACUUUUCCAGGUGUGAGCUGUUACCCUAAAAUAGCAUUUCCCACCUGCGCUAGUCUGUGAUCAUUGUCCGUUAGUAGAUGUCAGAGGACACAUUGUCUUCUAUCCAAGACUCACAGGAUUGGAAGACUUGAAAAAAAAAAAAAAGAAUAGUGGUAUAUUUUCAUGGUAGAAAACUAUUCCUAUGUAAUCUGUAGGAGGAAAAUAUAAAAAACCUAUCUUGCACAUUUUAAAACUAGCAUAUAGAUUAACAAACAAUAAAUUUUAUUUAUUUGUUUAUUUAUUGAGACAGAGUCUCGUUCUGCCACCCAGGCUUGAGUGGAGUGCAGUGGCUUCAUCUCUACUCACUGCAACCUCCACCUCCUGGGUUCAAGUGAUUCUCGUGCCUCAGCCUCCCAAGUAACUGGGAUUGUAGGCAUGCACCACCAUGCCUGGCUAUUUUUUUUUUUUUUUUUAAUUUUUAGUAGAGACAGGGUUUCACCAAGUUGGCCAGGCUGGUCUUGAACUCCUGACCUGAAGUGAUCCACUCAGGCUUGGCCUCCUAAAAUGCUGAGAUUACAGGUGUGAGCAACUGAGCCUGGCCAUAAGCAAUAAAUUUUAGACAAGCUACCUCCAUUCUUUCCAGUUUACAUUAUGUUUUAGAAAGCCAUUUUUUUUAACAUGUAAAAGUAACCAGGUACAGAGUAAGAAAAUAAUCUCAUUUUCUAUGGGAAACAGUAUAAAGCAAACUGUAAUGAUGAUUAAAACAAAUGAAUAACCCUAUUACAAAAUUAAUUGUGCAUUUAUACAAUUCAGAAUCAAUCAAGACUUAGAUUUUACAUUAAUAAUAAGAAAAAAAUAAUUCAAAAGGGAUCUGAACCACCAAACAGAACCAUAAUAUCUUCUGGCAUGUCUAACCAGUGGAUAUAUAUAUAUAUAUAUAGCCAGUCUCAAUGAAGCUCAUCUUCUCUGCCUUUUCUCACUCUCCCAUUCCAAUGGAGUAUGUUUGUUUGUUUGAGUGUUUGGGCAAUUGAUGUGUUUUUCCAGUUCCCCUAGUAGAGCUUAUUGCACUGUUAAGCCACUGUGCAGUAUAUUAAGGAGAAUUAGAUCCCAGAAUUUAGAAUUUGCAGCCAUGUGGUACCUUUUCUAAUCAGAUGAAAAUGUCAAGAAAUUGGUCUAAGAGUAGAGUAUGAGAGCCGAAAUGCUGAAUAUUCUCAAUUUCAAUAUAAAUAAAGAUUUGAGAAUUAUAGUGCUUGAAACUAAAGAUACAAACAGUAACAAAAGGCAAGAUUUUAAAGCUUUAUUUUUGCAUUUGAGGUUUAUAAGCUAUUAUUGCUACUGUAUAUUUUAAAAAUAUAUUCUUUCCAAUAAAAAUAUUGGCCAUCAUUCUUGUUGCCAAGAAUAAGAAGAAUAUUUAAAAAGUGAAGUACAACAUGGAGUAAACAAAUAUUUUCAUAAUGGACUUUAAUAUGUAUUCAUCAUUAAGAAAUUAAAGAUAAUCCGUAAAUAAAACAAUGAUGAUAUAAUGGUUUAGAGAGUUAAGAUUUAGGAAGUAGUAGAUAAAAUAAUUAUCUGUGUUAUGCAGAUAUAAUCCUUAGAGUGCAAUAUUUGAUUAAUAGGAGUUGUCCUAUAUGUCAUUCAUAAACUUGUAGCAGAGAGAAACCUCUGCAUAAGCUCAGGUGUUCAAGUAUGCGAGAAACACAGUUUUCUGUAUUUUUGCUCUUGCUAAACUUAAUUUGUAUUCUGGGCCCUGGUUUCAUCAAGUGGCAGAAACUCAAUCUCAGUCAGCCCUAACUGACUAUCCUCCAGGACUCUGUCUACAAAAUGCCAGGUGGGGGGCCAUCUGGCCCUCAGUGUCAUCAGCCACCCCUGCUGGCACCCACUGAGACUUCCUUAUUCCAGUCUGCUCUGUGGUCACUGGUCCUUGUAGGUUGCCACUGCAGCCUCCUUGUCCUCAUUCCAAGGACACAUUAGGCCUUCUGGCUCUAUGAGUAUUUUUCACUGGAGAAAUUUUGCUUAUGCUGUACUGCUUCAGGCAAAGGAAACUGUUAGCUGUCUCAGCCCACAUGCCUAGUCAAACUUUGCUCUUUGAGAGCCCCAAUUCAUCAAAGGUUUUAGUCAUUUUCUUUCAGUAUGGAGACUUGAUCUAUGGAUAUCAGUAAAGCACUCUCUUUCUCAGUGGUGUCACAAAUGUCUAGACAUUUCAUUUUUGCUGCUCAUUUUCUUCCUCUUCUCAGCCUAUCGAACUUUGCCCUGGAGGGAAAGCAAAUACGAGAAAAACAAGUUCUUUACUAACUAUGAAUUCUUCCAAGUAAUUUUGCAUUUUUGAACUCAAAAUCUAAUAGGUAAUUUUAUUUCUGUCGAAUUUUAGUAUAUCAGCCACUACUGGAGACAAUCAAUAUACAACUUUUUUUUUUUUUUUUUUUUUUUUUGAGUCAGAAUCUUGCUCUGCUGCUCAGGCUGGAGUGCAGUGACUCGAUCUCAGCUCACUGCAACCUCUGCCUCCCAGAUGCAAGUGAUUCUCCUGCCUCAGCCUCUGGAGUAGCUGGAAUUACAGGCAUGCUCCACCAUCCCCAGAUACUUUUUGUAUUUUUCGUAGAAACAGGUUUCACCAUGUUGGCCAGGCUGGUCUCAGACUCCUGGCCUCAGGUGAUCUGCCCACUUUGGCCUCCCAAAGUGCUAGGAUUACAGGCAUGAGCCACCGUGCCCAGCCCCAAUAUAGAACAUUCUAACUGCUGUCUGAAUUAGGGGAAGGGCCAUAAGCUAAAAAAAAGAUACUAAGUACAGAAUUAGCAUUGAUAAUAUAAUGAUAAACCAACUCCCUAGAGAUAAAUGUUUAGGUAGUCAGAUAAAAUUAAUUAAACCUAUACUAAUGUAUGUAUACAUAUGAUACUGAACAGUGUAGUGAUGUUUCACUUAUUUCCAUAUUGGAUACUGACUGAUAUGGAAUAUAUGUUUCUAGAUUUGAAACUUUUUCUUGUAGUAACCAUUGGAAAAAACUGAAAAUAUCAGCAUCACAACAGAAUGAAGCUCUGUGUAAUCAAAUUCUGAAAGGCUAAAGAAAUGUGAUCUGCCUUUAUCCAAUAAUAAAUUUUGAAGUGCCUCUGAGAAUUAAUGCCUUUUGGAUGAUGUUCCCUAAAAACCACUUCUCUGACCUGAAUAAUUAGAUGUUGGAGAGCAGAGAUUCUGGGUUGCAGUACAUGAUGAAGGUCUGGAAAGUUUUGCUUUUAUUUUGGUCAUUGAAGUUAAGGCAUGUGCUUUGGAAACCAGAUGAGUAGCUGUCAUUUUUGGCAAAUGAUUAUGAAACUGAAGAGACUUUAGAGAGGACCAGCCCAUAUCCCAACAAAGGUGUUCAUAGGCAGCCUUGUCAUUUUUCUCCAAGAAACAAUUUUAGAUAUUUGGCAGCACAUGAUCAAGUGCUUAAUUUAGUACCCAGAAUCUCACAACAUAGAUAGUAUUAGUAAUUGAGAAAAAUUUAAUCCAGAUAUUAUCAGGAGUUGGCCAUGGCGAUGGAACAGUUUUCACAAUCCUCUCUUGUAACAUCCUGUACUUGCUGGUAAGACUCUUGGUAUAGCCUCCUGAUAAUAAUGUGUUCACUGCAUUCAGCCUUAAAUGGAAUCAUUUUAUAUAGGCCAAUUUGAGUAAUAUUUUCCAAAGAUAAAGGCAAUAAUUAUGUGUAGAAUGGUUACACUAGAGAAAUAACUAAUAGUAAAUAGAUUGAUAGAUAUAUGGGAUGGAUAGAUAGAUGGAUAUAUGGGUGUAAAUAUCACCUUCAGAAAAUAAUUUGAUAGGCACUAAUACUAGUGGGUUUUUUGUGGCUGCUUCAUGGUCAUAGUAAUAAAACCAUAUGAUGUGCAUUACAAGAAUUCCUGCACAUUAAUUAAAUGUAAAAUGACUUGACAUCAUAAUGUCAUACAUGAAAAAAUAUAUUAUGGGAAGGGGAAUGUAGUGAUCUGCCAGGAUAUCUUUGCUUUGAUUCCUGUGGCAUUAAUAAUCAGAUUUUAUUGUGCUCAUUCAACCUGACCCAGCUUGUUUCUUUUCAUUUUCGAUUCAUGUAUAUAGUUAUUGAAAUUAUAAAUCAUGUUAUAUUAUUUUAAGCAGAUUUUCCUGUAACAUUCAUGAAUUACUUAACUCACAAAUAUUUAUUAACUUUCUUAUUCAUGUCAGAAUCAUGUUCUAGGAACUUAAAUCUUGUUCAGCAUGGCUGAAUCUUAGUUUAAGAAGGUCAAUAGUGGAAUAGCUGUACCUGAUGAUUCUUUGCUCUUUAUAUGAAAUAUUUGGAUGAGAAAACUAAGCCUGUGCUUUAUUAAGAAAGUAGUCAUAUUUUGAAAGAGACUGAGCUUUGCGUUGCCUUUCAGAGGAAAUUAUGGUGCUUUAAAUUUAUAUUAUAUGUUCCCUGUAAGAAAUUAAUUAAAUUAGAAUUUUUUUAGGCUCUAGAGCCUACCAAUUAAACUAGAAUUUAAAUUGGUUUUGACUCAGAAUAUCUUCACCUAGUGUUCUCUUUGUUCUGAAAUGUUUAAUUGAAAUAGUGAUAUUAGGAGAAAUAAUCGAGAUCCAAACACAGAAGCACUUUUUCUUUUAUUUUUAUUUGAAAUGUAUUAUUUACAUAUAUUUAUGGAAUACAGAGUGAUAUUUCAACACAUAUAUAUGAUAUGUAAUGAUCAAAUAUGGGUAAUUAGCAUACCCAUCACCUCAAACUUAUUAUUUCUUUGUAUUGGGCACAUUCAAAAUCUUCUCUUCCAGUUAUUUGAAAAUAUACAAUAAAUUAUUGUGGACUGUACUUACCCUACAGUGCUGUAGAACACUGGAACUUAUUUCUUACAUCUAGCUGUAAUUUUAUACCUGCUAACCAAACUCUCCAUAUCCUCUCCUCUCCCCUAUCCUUCAGGGUCUAAUAGCCACAAUUCUACUCUCUACUUCUAUAUGCUCAACUUCUUAUCUCCCACAUAUGAAUGAGAAUAUGGGGUACUAUUUAUCUUUAUGUGCAUGACUUCUGCAUAACAUACUGUCCUGCAGGCUCAUCCCUGUUGCUGUGAAUGACACAAUUUCAUUAUUUUUAUGUCUAAAUAGUGUUCCAUUUUGUAUAUCUACACGUUAUCCCUUCAUCUGUUGAUGGAAAUGUUGGUUGGUUCCACAUUUUGGCUAUUGUGAAUAGUGCUGCAAUGAACAUGACAGUGCAGAUAUCAGAAAUUAUACUGAUUUCAUUUCCUUUGGAUAAAUACCCAGGAGCACAAUUUCUGGAUCAUAUGGCAGUUCUAUUUUUAAUUUUUUGAGAAAUCUCCAUAUUGUUGUCCUUAAUGCCUUACUAAUUUACAUUCCUACCAACAGUGUAUGAGUUCCUAUUUCCCCACCCUCUCACCAGCAUUUAUUAUUUGUUUUCUCUUUAUGAUAAUAACCAUUCUAACUGGAGUGAGAUGAUAUUUCAUUGUGGUCUUGACUUGCGUUUCUCUGAAUAUUAGGAUUUUUAAAAUAUAUCUGUUGGCCAUUUAUAUAUCUUCUUUGGAUAAAAGUUUAUUCAUAUAUUUUGCUUUUUAAAAAUCAGAUUAUUUAGGAUUUUGCUAUUGAGUUCUUUGAGUUCCUUAUGUAUUCUGGAAAUUAACCCUUUGUCAGAUGCAUAGGUUGCAAAUAUUUUCUUCUAUACCGUAGGUUGUCUCUGUACUCUGUUGAUUGUUCUAUUUGCUGUGUAGAAUCUUUUUAGUUUGGUGUAAUCCCAUUUGUCUAUGUUGGCUUUUGUAGUCUGUGCUUUUGAGGUCUUAUCCAAAGAAUCUUUUUCCAGACCAAGGUCAUGAAGCAUUUUCUCUGUAUUUUUUUCUGUUAGUUUCAUAGUUUAGGACCUUACUUUUAAGUCUUUAAUCCAUUUUGAGUUGAUUUUUGUGUAUGGUGAGAGAGAGGUUCUAGUUUCAUUUAUCUGCAUGUGGAUAUCCAGUUUUCUAAGCACCACGUGUUGAAGAGAGUGUCUCUUCCCCAACUGGUAAGCUUUCAUAUAUCCGUAGUUUACAUCUUUCCAUAAUGUCUCUUCUCUGAAGAUAUCUCCUAUUAUUUUAUUCUUGCAAAAUAAUCUUUGUAAUAUCACAGUCUAUUUUUCAAUAAGCCAGUUUUCAGAAAUGCUCAAAAUUUGAGACUAUCAAUUAUCUCUGUCUAUAGUAAUUCUUCAGUUGGUUGAAUAGUAGUUAGGAACCUUCUUGCUGUUGGUUCAUCUUCUAAUACCCACACAUAUGUGGGUACAUAAAAUAGAACAAUGCAAGAACACCUCACAUUACAUCACAACUGAUAAUUUCAUGAAAAAAAAAAACCACUUCCUUAGCUUUGGAAAAGAUGAACUAGUUAAUCAGGUAGUGGAUAAUUUUAUAUAAAUUUUUAAAUUGAGCACUGUUCUGUAGAAUCAAAGAGACCUGCAUUUGUAUCCUGAAUUUUUCUUUUCUAGAUGUAUUAAAUUGUGCAAGUUAUUUAACUUUUCUGUUACAUAGUUUGCUCAUCUAUGCUAGUAAAACAAGCCUACAGGUUAUUGUGAAAAUUGAAUUAGUAUGAAAUUUUUGAGAGACAUGUAUAUGGCACAUAGUAGGGAAUGUAUAUGUAUAUUCCCUUUAUUUGUGGCAGCAAUGAACAGAUACAGUCUUAUUCAUUUAAUUCUUCUGGAAAUAGCUCUUUGAUUUUGAGGCUCAUUUUUCAAAGUCAGGAUUAUUUUUAAUGCUGAGAAUGAAUGGCAGAGUGGGCUUUGUUUUCAUUUUUAUUAUGUAAAGAUUAAUAUAAGCUUUAUAAUAGUUGUAAAAUAAUAAAUGCCUUAUAAAAAUAAAUGUGUAUGUAACAGACAACUCAGAGAAAAUGGGACAUAGAAAAUUCUCUUUUAUGUAACAUGCAGUUAACCUGUAGAAGAUUUUCCUGUAUCUAGUUAGACAACUAAUUGCUGAGAGUUAAACAAUUGGACAGAUAUGGAAUUAACAUUAAUAGGGAAAUAUGACUGUGCUUUAGGGAAUAUGCUUAUCAGAGAUAAAGAAUGUGCUUAAAAUUUAUGGUUACGCCACACUCUGCCCAUGGCUGUAAAUUUCUUUCUAGCACCUUGGCUAUUGUUGUGGGUCUGUGUGAACUACCACUAAGUUGGCAGCCAGCUAAUAUCCAAGAAAAUUUUCUCUAGUCUUCACCAUUAUCUUUUCUUUUUGGUUAACUGACAUCCAGGGAGGGUCACUUGACCUGAGAACAAGAAACAGUUUUUAGUAAAAAGUACCAGACACAGGCGUAUACUUGCUUCCUACUGAAACAGAAACUAUAUUAUUAUAACUCUUCCAGAGUCUACAGAGGAAGUUCAGAAGUUCCUGAAUCAAGGGACUGACUCUACCAAAUUUUCAACUCACAAAUAGAAUCCCCCACGAACUGCCCUACCUGGAGUUAUCCAUUAACAAUUAAAGAACUGAAGAAAAGCUUUAUGGUCUGGAAUCUCAAGGCAACUGUCCAUGAGUCCAGUCCAGCCAGAACAUAUGCUUUGUGUGUCCAGCAUGAUAAUUUUUGUUAAGAACAUUGGUUGUGAAUGCCUUUAAAUGAGGCAUGCUCUGCCUAGUUUUACUGCAGUCUUCACUGAAACAGAUUAUCUUAAGUUUGUGAAUUUGAGAUUGCAACUCCUGAUAUAAAAUAACUUUUCUUUAAUUGAGAAAGAAAACAACAAGUAGAGACUUUACAGAAUUCUAUAAAAUAAAAAAUGGCAUGCAAAAGUAAGUGGUGACCUAAAAGUCAAAAGAGUGAUAAAAAAAGAAAAUAACAAAGUAUCUUUGAAGCAAUAUAUAAAUAAAGUAUUGAACAUCAUGAUUUAUGUAGUUAGAAAUUAUUUGCUGGGUGCAUUUAACAUAACACAUAAAAUGAUAUUUAUAGACACCCAUCUAAGAAGUCACACAAAAACAUUUUCCAGAACAUAAAAUGGUUUUGUGAUUAGGUCCAACGGCAUGUGAAAUCAAAGCCCUUUGUACAAAGGUGGCCAGUGUGGUUGGCAUGGUGUGGCCAUCAUUUCCAGCCCUUGCUUUAAAGCAAAUAGGAAGGAACAAUUAGUUUCAAGCUAUUUGGACUUAAAACUAUUAAUAAAAGUAAAUUAAAUUUAAAGAAGAAAUUUAAGAUCUACAUAUGUUCUCAUAAUCACUAAUAGCUACUUCACUUUACUUCAUUCUAGGAGAUAGAGUGCGAGAGUUUGCGUGCAGGUGUGUGCUUGAUUGUGUCUAUGUAUGUUUGUCUUACUCAUUCCAUCACUUCCAAGUGUUUCUGGGCUGGUGGCUUCUAGUUGUGAAGAACCUAAGAACUGGAGUGGUGUCAACUUUGACAGAGAACCUGGGGUGUGUUCUCCGCUAAUCAGGGUGAGCUGUGCUACUAAAAUUGCAUUUGUGGCACUUGCUUUCCCACUCUGUCCCUCGAGGCAAAGUUACUGUGACAGAAUAAAGAGUGGAAUAGAAGAAUAAAUUCUGGCUUUGAAAUAUUAGAUAUGGUUUCCUCCCCUUUUCUGGUUUCAAACCCUCAGAAAAAUUUGAAGGUUUCACUGGAUAACAAUCUCCAAGAUACAAUAAUAAUAAUAGUAAUAAAGUAAUUGCUUUACAAGGGAUAAAAAUAUGGGUAAGACAUUGGAGUCUCAGCCUCUUUCCAUGGAGACAUUGACAUUAUCAUAAUUUCCUUACUAUUUAUUCUCGUGGUUUAUAAAUAUCUCCUCAGUGGUCUCCUCAUUGCAGGUUUUCCCCCGACUCAAUCAUCUUAUGAAUGAAUGCCAAAUUCAUCUUCUUGAAUCAUAUGAUUCCUUAUUUACAACACUUUCAAAGUCCGAUCAUGUCAUUCCUCAAUUCCAAUACUUUCAAAGACUUCUCAUUUCCUACAAUUAAGACUCAUUUUUUUUUUUUCUGCAUGGCAUUUGAUGUCCAAUACCUAAACUCACUUCUCUCUUCUUUCUUUAGUAAGCCAUUCUCUCCAGGUUUUCUCAACUGGAGUAAUUUUGGCUUUUCUAGGGGGACAACAUUUUGCUGUGUGUCACUAAUUACAGAAUUAUUAGCCUUCUUGGCUUCAGUGCAGUUAAUGCCAACAACACUUCUCAGUCAUUGUGACAACCAAAAAUGCUCCCAUGAAUUUCUGAAACCCCAAGGUGGUGUGCUUUUCAAGAUCUGCUCUUGAACUUUAUUUCCCUUCCUGCUUUCAUUCCUUGCUCCUGCCGUUUCCUUAGCAUGAAAUGUCACUCCCUCACAUCUUCAUACCCUUAUCCAUGAUGCAUUAAUGAAGUUAACCUUGAUCCCUAGUUCAAAGAUAUUUUUUCUUCUUCCUGAACGGCAAAGGUGAUUCCUAUUCACUGAGUGCUUACCACAUAUCAGGCAUUCUUGUCAGGUGCUUUCUAUUGCAUAAUUUCCAUUUAAAAUUGUGCUUCCUUGCUCAUAGUGAGUUGUGCUGAAAUUUGCUCACUUUGGAAGGACAACACCUCCCUCCCUCUACCAUCUUCCUCCCACCAGAGGGAAAGUUAGAGGUGAAAUAUAGGAUCUUUAGUAUUAUUAGUACUUAGCUUUCAGCUGUUUCUCAGGUACAAAGCACCCUUUACUAAUUUUCAUAAAGUCAGUAUAUGGACUUAGCUGCUGCCUAGACUUGUCAUUUUCUUUCCUCAUCUUCUAUACCAGAUCAGUGUGCCCUUACAUCAACAUCUAUAUCUGAUCUAUCUUCUUAUUUCCUAAGAACCCCAGCAGAGUACACUGGUCUCUCCAGUAGGCCUCAAAAAUAUUUGCUGUAAAACCCUGGAUAUUCGAAUAAUGACCAAUGUAUUCCAAUUUUAAGUGCUUAUUUAAAAGAGUAAAGAUGUAGAAUUUCAAAAUCUUGGCUUUUGGGGCAAAGGUUGGCUGAGAGCAGCUUAAAACCUUAAAACUAAAGAUAUUUAAUGGCAUUAAUUUCAACUUUUUAAGCAAAUAUAUAAUAAUGCUAUACACUAAAACUAACAUAAAAUGCCAAGAAAAGUUUAAUACUUUGAGGAUGUUAAGGUGUAAUGAUUCAGAGAACAUAAAGAAGGAUGAUUGCACAAUUCCCAUUAACAUCAAUGAAAUUCAUAUGGUAAAAUUAACACCUCAGUGGAAGCAUGACCUCAACUGUCAUCGGGCAUGUUACUUUUCAUGGUGUGUGCUUUUCUCCUUUAAUUUCAGGCAAUUUAAUUUUCUGCCCACUUCACAAAGAAAUGUCAGGCUGAAAGACUAGAGCAUUGAUGUUGAACAUCUUUCUUCACACAUUGUACUUACAGUAAAAUUGAUUUUGUUAUCCUUGAUAUCACUAAAUAAAAGCAAGAACUGCAAUAUUCUUUCAUAUAAACUCACCUUUGAAAAUAAGAAUUUGAGGACAAAUGACAGUCAUAUUCAUAAAAAAUCUUAGAAAUGUGAAAUUUCAAAAGUAAAUUUUAAGAAAAGUAACAAAUAAGUAAAUUAUAAUAAAAAGUAAACAAGAAAAGCCAUUAUUGAAAAACAGUAAUAUUUUUGUGUUCCUCUAAAAUUUCAGGAUGGACUACAUAGAAAUUCAAAAGUAAUGAAUACAUGGAUUCUGUUUCUGUUAAUUUUCAUAAGUCAAAUAGAGAAUAAUGGUUAGGAGGACAGUCUCUGAAUCUAGACUGUUCACAGAUUGGGUCUACCAGUUACACCUCUGUCAUCUUAAAUGAGUUACAUCAUGUUGCUGGACCUGUUUCCUUACUGAGUAAUUGUAAAUACUGGAAUUACUCCUUCAUGAGAUUGUUAUGAAACUGAAAUAAAUUAGUUUAAAACACUUUUAAGACUGCUUAGCACAUAGUGAAUGGAAAAUAAAUGUUCAUUAUGUAUAUUAUCUUAUUUUAAACAUGAUAGAGAUUUUAUUGGAAGAAACUAAAGAUAAACCAACAGUUAUCACACUAGUUUCACUAUUAUGCUCUUUCAAAAUAUAUCUGGCGUGAUUAUUAUUUUUAUUAUAUAUGAAGGAAAAGGAAAUCAACAUAACAUGUAUGUUACAUAAUUAUUUUUGAGGACUUGAUUUGUAAAUCUCAGUAAAUAACCAAGAAUGGAACCUAUUACUUAAUCUGUAUGAAAUGUUUUAUCUACUUACCCCUCUCUUAACCCAAGACAGCUAUUCAAUCAAGCUGCUUGAGGACCAUUUAUUACGAAAUUUUGCAUGCUUAUCACCUAAUACUACUGGCUUGGCACUAGUAGGCACUCAGUAAAUAUUUGUUUAAUCCAUUAGCCUUUAUCAAAACAAAUAUUCCAAUUUAUUCAUAUAUCACUCCAUCUAGCCAGUGCACCCAAGCAUCCUUAACCAUGUCCUGGAGUCUUUUCUCUUUUGUCUUUUUUAUCUGAGGAGCAGUGUGAGCUUCCCUACCUCCUGAUUUGUUUACAGCACUGCUAGUCCACCCUAAUCUCUGCCUGCUCAAACUUCUCUCAACGCAAUUCAGAGCAAUAGAGUUUAGCACUACAGUGACUUAGAUGUAUGUUGAAUUUGAUCUUUAAAUAAAUCAUAUGCAUCUUAAGGGCAUGAUGAUUCUUUUGUGACAUCUUGCAGUUGAUCCUUAACAAAUAAUUAUUAAUUGAUAACAAUCAACAACCAAACCAGUGUUUAUUCUUUCCUGCCAUGUUAAUCUCUCCAUUUGAAUCUACUUGAAUUAUUCUCUUUCUGUUUCAGUAUUGGAGUGUAAUUGUUCCAGCAUAAAAGAAAGGAAGAUUUGCCAUAUUAUACCAUAUUAUAAACACACACACACAGACACACACACACACACAUACACUGAUACACUCAUACAUACAAACAUAUACAUACACAUAUAUAUUUUCAUGGGAAGUUAUGGCAGGAUUUUAACUACUGACUCAGGAACACUAAAUGAGUGCAUAUUUCCCCUAUACUCAUAGAUGAACUGGAGAUUAAUUCAGUUUACCCUGUACUCAAGUUUCUCUUGUUAUAGGGGAAGGCAGAUGGCAGAGCAAAUACUUUGGAGUUCACUAUGGGUCUAAUGUAGCUAAUAAUUAGUUGUAGAAAUCAUUAAGAUGGAAUCGACAUAAUUUCACUUGCCAUUCAACAUGGCAUUUUGCAUUUCUAAAAACUUGAUUUAGCUGGACUGGAGUUUCUAAAGAAUUACUUAAAGAGAUUCAAACUUUCGUUCAGAGUUAUGAAACAAUGCAGUGUUUUACUUUAUAAAUUAUAACCAAAUAUUUUAUAAUAAAGAUAACUGACAUGAAUUGAAGGAGAAACUGUUUUAUCCCCAUUUUAUAUAUGAGGAAAUGCCCAAGAAGUUAAAUAAUUACUCAAGAAAUGGAUAAGCCAGUACUCAAACUUAGGAAGUUGGCCCCAAAACCCACACUUAUACUAUACUGACACUACUGACAGAUAUCACUAGUUACCUAAACAAGAAUCCAUGCCACCCAUUUCCUUUGUGAGAUCCCAUCUGUGUGACAUUCACGUUCUUAGUCUCUCUAAAGGCAAGAAUGGAUAUAUAACCUAGUUCUGGCCAAUGGAAUUAGAAGAAAUGCCUUCUAGGACUUUCAUUUUGUACCCUGGUGAAAAAAAAAGAAAAAGAAAGACUUGUUAAAAGAAGCUCAGUUUUCCCCCUAAUUUUAGACAUUGAUGUGUGAAGAUGUAAUACUUGGAGCUUCUGUAGCCAUAUUGUAACUGAAAAGAAGGUCAAGAAAAUUAUAGAAGAAAUGACUCAGAGGCCAUACAUUUUUAAGCAUCUGAACCAACCCUGUACGUCUUUUCUUAUGAAAGUCCUGUCUGUGAGAAUAAUAAACUUUAUUGCUUAUUGCUAUUUUUUGUAUUCUUACCUGCAGCUCAAAACUGCCUAACAGAUGAAAAUAUGAAUUUCUAAUUUCUAAGACAUUUUACAUUUUCAGUCUAUAAAUAUUUUAUUUAUUCUUAUAAACAAAAUUAGUAUUCCCAAAUGAAUAUUUCUAAGCAUCUUAAAUUCUUUUGGGUUUUCAAAUGGAUAUGAUUAUAUUUUUAAGACUGAUUUUUAAAAAUUUUUUAUUAUUUGUUUUUCUGUAUAUACUUUAUUCUCUUGGCCAGACAUGGAAUAAACACAACAAUUUUAGUUUUUGAAGUUCAGGUUUUACUAAAUAUUUUUGAGAUUAGAUAACCACCUUGAUUCAUGAAUUAUUAGUUUGAAAAAAUGAUUUACAUUGCAUUGAGAAACUGGACCAAAAAAACUUUGAUUUUUUAAAAAUUAUUAUCAUACUUUAAGUUCUAGGGUACAUGUGCACAGCGUGCAGGUUUGUUACAUAUGUAUACAUGUGCCAUGUCAGUGUGCUGCACCCAUUAACUCGUCAUUUACACUAGGUAUAUCUCCUAAUGCUAUCCCUGCCCCCUCAUCCCACCCCAUGACAGGCCCCAGUGUGUGAUGUUCCCCACCCUGUGUCCAAGUGUUCUUAUUGUUCAAUUCCCGCCCAUUAAUGAGAACAUGCAGUGUUUGGUUUUCUGUCCUUGUGAUAACUUGCUCAGAAUGAUGGUUUCCAGCUUCAUCCAUGUCCCUACAAAGGACAUGAACUCAUCCUUUUUUGUGGCUGCAUAGUAUCCCAUGGUGUAUAUGUGCUACAUUUUCUUAAUCCAGUCUAUCAUUGAUGGACAUUUGGGUUGGUUCCAAGUUUUUGCUAUUGUGAAUAGUGCCGCAAUAAACAUACAUGUGCAUGUGUCUUUAUAGUAGCAUGAUUUAUAAUCCUUUGGGUAUAUACCCAGUAAAGGAAUGUCUAACUAAUUUUAUGAGGCCAGAGUCAUCCUGAUACCAAAGACUGGCAGAGACACAACAAAAAAAGAGAAUUUUAGACCAAUAUCCCUGAUGAACAUUGAUGCAAAAAUCCUCAAUAAAAUACUGGCAAACCGAAUCCAGCAGCACAUCAAAAAGCUUAUCCACCACGAUCAAGUUGGCUUCACCCCUGGGAUGCAAGGCUGGUUCAACAUACUCAAAUCAAUAAAUGUAAUCCAUCAUAUGAACAGAACCAAAGACAAAAACCUUGAUUUUUAAAAUGUGGAUCUGUUUGACUUUUUAUUUCAUGUAAGAAUCACUGUUAGAAAUAUGAAAGUAUAUUUCAGCUUAAAUGUAGUGACAUUCUGCUACCCUAUAUUUAAAUUGAACCUAAAUUAAACUUGUAUUAAUCACUAUCUGUCACAUGAACUCUACCAGCUCCCUUUCACCUAAACAAACAGUCACACACAACGAAAUGGAAAUCUUUUCUCAGCCGGGCACAGUGGCUCAUGCCUGUAAUCCCAGCAUUUUGGGAGGCCGAGGUGGGCGGAUCACAAGGCCAGGAGAUCGAGACCAUCCUGGCUAACACAGUGAAACCCUAUCUCUACUAAAAAUACAAAAAAUUAGCCAGGCAUGGUGGCAGGUGCCUGUAUUCCUAGCUACUCGGGAGGCUGAGGCGGGAGAAUGGCGUGAAUCCAGGAGGCAGAGCUUAAAGUGAGCCGAGAUCAGGCCACUGCACUCCAGCCUGGGCCACAGAGCCAGACUCUGUCUCAAAAAAAAAAAAAAAAAAAAAAAAAAAAAAAAAAAAAAAAAAUCUUUUCUCCUCUUUAAAGAUUUCAUCUU